UCAAGUCCUUCCUCAAAGAUGAUAUCCAGAGCUGCUCUCAUCCCAUACAGCAGUUGGAUGGAAGGGGUGUAUGGCCAAAAUGUUCCCAAUUUAUAGAACUUCAAGUAGUCAUUCCAGUCAAAGAAAAAUCUCACUGAUUGUGCAGAUUUGCUUGCCUCUAGAGCCUUGGGGCCUGCACAUACAAUCCCCAUUCCAGUGGGAAGAGAAAGAGCUUUCUGAGAGCCGGUUAACGCCACAUCCACUCCCCAUUCAUCCAUACGGAAAUCAAGGGCACAUAUGGAUGACACCCCAUCAACAAGAAAGAGUGCUGGAUGACGGUACUCAUCUGAUAUUUCAAUACAAAAAAGAACGUUAAAAAUGAGAACCCAAUAGUGGAAAAUGACAGAAUCCUAAUGUGAAGUUUCCUUGCAGAUGAAGAUGUGGCCUAGAAAAUGAAUUCUUACCAAGGAUUCUCCUUACUGCAGCCAAAUUGUUGGUAACUCCAGUAGCGGUCUCAUUGUGAACAAUACAAACAGCCUUAAUAGUGUGUGCUCUGUCUGCUGCAAUUUUUUCUGCUAGAAUCUCAAGGUUAGCACCUUGGCCCCAUUCACUUUCUAUGACAUCCACAUUGAACCUAAGACGUUUCUGCUGGUCGAUCCACAGCAAACUGAAUUGCCCAAUCAGGAAUGAUACAGUUCGAUCUCCAGGAGACAAUGUGUUUGUAAGUGCACUCUCCCAUGCACCAGUACCUGAGCCAAGACAGCAACAACAAUAUGUAACAUAAAUGAAGAGUAAAUUAUCAAUCUUCCAAUGACAGAAAAGGAGAACCAGAAGGAGAGUUAUAUUGUGCUGCCAUAGCCAAACGAUCGUUUGAUCUAUGCAUGCAAAUAUCAAAGGAUGCCACAGAGAAAUGGAAGCUUCAAACCAUCCUGAUGAUUAAGAUUUCUGAAGAAAGCAGACUGUUAGUGAAUGCAGUACCUGUGGUGGGAAUGAGAAAUGGGGUUCCAGUAGUUGUCUUGAAGAUCUUCUUAACAUCCUCAAGAAGGUCUUUGGUCAAUGCUGGAAUUGGUGGAGCACGAUAAUCCUCAUUGUUCCGGUUCAUGGCCCGUAUGACAUGGUCUGGGAUAUUGACAGGCCCCGGAACAAAGAGAUGAUUUGUUCCUGGUGCAAAAUAGCGGUCCAUCUUGCCCUUCUUGAAAUCUCACUGCUGAGGUAAAAUUUUGAGAGAACACCUUAGCUACAAUGAACCAAUUAAGGGGGGAAAAAAAGAGAAAAACCAACUGAAAAUCCGCAAAAGUCUGUUAAGAAAAUCUGUCUUUUCAUUCAUUUAUAGGUUUGUAUUAAUAAAAGAACAGAGCUAGAAAGAAAAAACCAGAAUUUUCCUCUCCCCUCGAUCCAUUACAAUCAGGGGCCUAGCAAACAUAAAGAAAUUUUGAAGUGAAGUAAAAUCAGAUGUUACCUAGAUAAGACAAGAAAGAAGCUAAUACUUCUUCAAAAGAGAAUUUCAUUGUAAAUCCAAAUCCUGGUCUGCAAAUUCAGAUUGUGUGCAUAUUUAUAUUGGUUCUGAGUCUUCUGACAUAUGUAACAACAAGUACUAGUUUGGAAGAGUGCAAAAAGGAUAAGAAGAAUACAAAAACUGAAAUGGGUAGAGACAGUUUAGACAAAAACACCAUGUCAAGGACCUAAAUGGAGAAUAUGACUCCUAUUUUUUCCAGAUUGAGACUUCAUGCAGUUUAGUUGAUAUGACCAGCCAAGAACUUACCAACCAUAUAAUUGUGGAUAAUUGUUGGAACAAGACCCAAGUUCUUAGAUCAAAUUUUUCUUAAAUUUCGUUCGGGUAAAUGAAUGAAAUAUGUACACAAAAUAAAUAAAUAAAUAAUCUAAUUCUGAUAAACAGCAGGAAAUGACUCAAAAAUCAUUCUGCAACUUCCAGUUUUUGCUUUAGUUCCUGGUGAAAUGUAAUUAUCUAGACUUAUACCAUGCAUCAGAAUGGUCAUGAACUACACCUAUCAACCUUUACAUGACAUUAAUAAAACAAAAGAAGGUUGGAAAAUCAUUCUAUCAAAGAAAAAAGGGACAAUUACACUAAGAAAAUUAACUGUUUGUUUCUCAAGAAAUAUCUUUUCAGAAAAGUGAGGGACCUUUUUAGCGAGAACUAAAUGGAUUGAAGAAGUAGGAAAUCCUGAACAUUCCAUGAAAUUAAACUUAGUGGAAGCUGCAAUAACAACUGAGCAAGGAGCAAUAUGAUUCUCCAAUGACUAAAAAUCAAAGUACUCAUUUCUCAUGAGUUCAAAAUCAUAUUAAGUAUAGUUUCAAGAAAAAUAUAUCAUAGCUCAGCCAAAAAAAAGGGGGCAAAAAUCAUGGGUCUUGUUGUUUGGUACCAAGACAAUAAAUUACAUCAAACAAACCACUGAUCAGAGCCCCUGUUUCUUAUGUUGUAUGAAUAAAAGACAAUCAUUUCAAUACACCCUAAAAAGAAUUUCCCAUCUUACAAGAGCACACACUUUCCUAUUUCCCAACCAGGUUUUGAUGCCUCCAUAGCCUUUUCCCAACAUGACAAAAAGUAGUAUCUUCACCUUGGAAGAACCCAAACAAGCCUGAACUCUCCACAAAUCACCAAAAGUUUUGCUAAGUAUACUUCAACAUACAUACCAGUCUAAAUUAAACCAAAACCCCAAAGAAAAAUAGAACAAAAGAACAUAAAACACAACCUUUUCAAGCUGAAAGCAAUCAGAAUGAAUAAAAAGAUAGUGAAAUAAGACACAGAAAUGAAUGAUAAAGAGUUGAGAAGAGGAGAGCAAUAGAUUAUACCUUAAGGUGAAAAGAGUGGGGGUUGAGGGAGUUAGGCAGAGGCACAUAGAAAAAGAGGGUUCAGAUAUGAAAAGGCCAAAGAGGAAGAGGAAUUGAUUUUAUAAGUAGGCGGGAGGCCAAUCAACAUUGCAUCUGGCCCCCACUUUCCUCCAGUGUGGCAGAUAAGACUUGGCUUCUAUUAGAAUCCUGGGGCUGCCAUUCAAUAAUCUCAUGUAUGACGUGGCAGCAUACUACUGUGCCUUUUUUUUUCUUUUUCUUUUUUCCUUGGAUUUGCACUAACAUAUUUAACUAUUUUGUUUUUGUUUUUCCUUCUAGGUUUUGAAAUUUUCAUUGAGGUCCCUAUGUUAUCAUGCAAUGUUCGAGAUACCUCAAAAGAAAAUUUUAAAUCUUAUAUAUUUAUUUAAACUAUCACCCACCCGGUCUUUUGUAUAGACACAUUCUACAUUCAAUUUAUACAUCCUCACGGUCUUAAAACAUGUAUAUAUAAAAUAUGAUUAUAUAUGAUAAAGAAUCAUGAUAGAUGAUAUUAAAAUUGACAUUUAUUUAAAAGUGUACGAGAUUUGUCACCUUUUUUUUCUUAUUUAUGAAUCGGUGAUAUUCUCCCUCCACUACAAACGAGCAAACGUGAGCUCCAACCUAUUGGGAAGUUUAUAGAAUUAAGGGAUGAUUUAUUUCUUAAACCAAGGACAAAAAGGAAACAAAGUGAAUGAAGUAAUAGGCAAGACUAGAAAAUAGAGAGAAGAGAGGGGCAAAUAUGCUAAAACAUUGAAAAAGAAGGGGAGUCCAAAUCCAAAAGAUGAUUACUUGGCAGAAAAUUGAAAAUUCUACUAGUUUUUAAUAUGAGAGGCUGAGAAGGAAAUAUGAAAAGAUAACAUGAUAAAGGGCUGUGUCAGCCACACCCUCACUUGUGGGAACCAAGGCCACAUGCAUACCUCAUCUUGGAUUGUUUUUGUCUACAUCCUCUUUGCCUUCUCAGGUCUUGUGUGUGAACAUGUGGCUAUGUGGCCCCCUUUUAUUUUUGGAAUGAAAUGGUAGUUUUUUAUAUGGGUCUAGUAAAUCACCAAAUGGACCCUUUUUUUUUAUAUGUUCCAAAUUCGAUAACCAAUCCCACGAUGUUAUGUGUACAUCUUCAAGUCCAUACCCACACGAUGUCAUGUGUACAUCUUCAAGUCCAUUCAUAUGUAUCCUAUAACUUAAUCCAAAUUUGUUUUGACGCUUGAUCUAAAUUUUAUUAUUUACAUUUAAGAAUUUAAGUAAAGAGCUUAAUAGGUUGGUAGAAAAAUAAGGUGAUGAUGUACUACAAUUGGUAACUGUGGUUUUAAAAUCGUAAAAAAUAAAAAUAAAAAUAACAAAGUGGAAGUUGACAUGAGGAAUUAUUUGAUGAAUGUUUUUAAUGCAAAUUUAGAUGGAGAUUUUUAAAUAAUAAAAAAAACAAAAAGAUUACUUUGAUUGUAGACUUAGGGUUGGAUAGUGUUAGUACAUCUUUUUUCCAUCCAACUUACAACAUAAAUUUUACAUUUUUGAAAUUUAUUAAGGAGGUAUUUUUGUGUAAUUAAAAUCUUAAAAAUAUCAAAAUCAUUUUUUAAUUAAAAAUGUUUUAUCCUAAAUAUAGAGCAAGGAAAAGUAAUUAUUUAUAUUUUUUUUUCUUCCAUGGCUAAAGGUGAGGGUCAGAGCAUGCAAUCAGGUAAUGUGAAUGGUUCAGAAUCCACUGAAACUUCUGGUAUCAUGAAGGAAUCUUCAGCCAAACAGCACGCCUUUUUCUUUGUCUGGUCCUUUAUUUUACAACAUGUCUUAAAUUUUAACAUUUUUUUAAAUAACUUUUAAAAACACAAGAUAAAUUUGAUUUAUGUUUUUAAAAAUGAAAAAUAAAAAGCUUAUCCAAACAACAUUUAAGAGUUUCUUUACCAAUUAUUUUUUUAAAUAAUUUUCUUUCCAAGAAAAGAAAAGUACGAUUGGCAACCAAAAAACCAAAAAAUUAUUUUUUGUUUUUAAAAACGGAAAAUUGAGUGUUUUCAAGUUGUUUUCAAUUGUUUGAACUUAUUUUCUAAAAUUUAUUUUAAAACAUAACUAUACAAAUAUAAAAAAUAAUUAAAAAUAUUAUAAAUAACAAUUUAUUUUAAAACAUAGAAAACAAUUUUAAAAUUGGUUUUACUUUUAUUUGGCCAAAAGUCAUAGAUGAAAUCGUUAACAAUUGUUUUCAAAAACUAUUUUUCAGAAUUGUUCUUACAAGUACUUUCUAAAUAUAGUGCAACCACUCACCCAAUGAACCAAACCCUUUUGCAUUUGGAGAUGGACUUCCAAAAUAUUCUUGCACACAAAAGAAACUACCUUGCCACUCAUCCUAUGAACCAAACCCUCUUGCAUUUGGUGAUGGACAUCCAAAAUAUUCUUGCAUAUAAAAGAAACUAUAAGCGCAUUUGGUAGUGAUUCUAAAAAGUGUUUCUAAAUUUUUUUAAAAAUAAAAAUAAAAAUUUUCAAGUAUUAAAAAGACUAGAAAUACUACUAUCGAAUGUUCGAUGUAUGAAAUUCCCUUGUUUCCUAUCUAGGAGCUAUUUUACCAUAAUGUUAAUGUGAGAACAAUUUUAUUAUAGAUUCAUAGUCGUCCAUCUUAUAUACAAUCCUUGCAACAACUAAGAGAUAAUAUGGGACUAAUUGAGGCAUCACCUCCCUUACUUCAAUCAUUCAAUUAUGAUAAUGGAAAAUCAUUUCAUCUUUUUAGUUGAACUUUAGGCCUGCAAAAUUUCUAGGUACACCUUACAUAACUUUCGACAGUCCUCUCAUAAAGACCCAUUCAGGGCUAAUUGAGCUAAUGAGAGAGGCUAAUGGAAAUCAAGAUUUAUCAGGUACCUUCUGUCAAAUCAGAAAAAAAACAAAUAGAGGAAAGCUAUUGGUAGGGAAGAUAAGUUGCAUGUGAUGAAACUUAAUAGCAUGAGUUUAAGAUGAUAAUAAGAUAAUAAUUCAAUGUAUUUAUAUCAUGAGUUUAACAUGCCAUUUCCUCCACAAACAUCUACAUACAACAACGGAGGAAAAUGCAUAUAUCAACAUUUCUAAGGAAAAUUUUCAAAGGAGAGGAUCAAGAUUUCAAUGAUUCAAAACUGAUAAUGUACAAUUCUGAAAAGGGCAUAAUACAUAUAAAUGUCUCCCUCAUGUAAAUGUAAUUCAAAUGAGUGAGAAGUAAAUCCUUUCCUAAAUUUUCCCUAUAUACGUAAACAAAUCACCGGCCUCAUUUGAAAAGGGUUAAAAAGAAAAAGAACAAAAACAAAACAAAAAAAUUUUGGCGAGACUCCCAUCUCCUCCUUUAGUCUCUGCACAUAAAAGGAUCUUUGGCUUUUUCUCUCAGCCACCAUGUUUCAUGUUUGUAGCAAUUCCCCACUGAUCGUAUCCAACUUCUCGAAAGGGAUAUUCAAAGUUUUAUUCCCAUGGACGGAAAAAAAAUCCAGAGAAUGUCAAUGGCUGAAGUAAUAAAUUCCAACUGAGUGAGCAAUUUUUUGCUUCACUCUCUAAUUAGCGGGCUCUCAUCCAAUCAAAGCAUCCUAAGACUACUUGAUAACUGAUGAGAAACCUUGUCGGGGAGGAUAACCACUUUGACGCAUCCUAGAAGGCUUCUCAUUACCAAAACGUCUGUUAUCAGUUGGUCCUGAUCCAAGAAUCCCCAAAGAAUUUGGAUCGGGUAAACGGGAACCAUUGCUCAUUGGCCUUUGAGGCAGGGGCUGAGUCAGGGAAUGAGUGUUAAUAUUAUCAGCUCUUCUCCUCCGUUUCCAUGCUUCAAAUUUCCCAGCAUCAUGACUCUUAGAAACUGGUUCUGCUGUUUGAUAGGCAGACAUAUUUUUGUACCCUCUUGGUGGUCUCUCACCAUGGCGAUGAAAAGAAGGGAACUGACCAGGAUCACUGUCUUUGUCACCAGGGCCCCAUGCAGAACCAUUGACAUGAGAUGAUCCUACCCCUCCAUCCUCAUCUUGCUCCUGUUUAAGUUUUGAAUGAAUCUGACGAAGCUUCUCCCCAGACAAAUUUGAAAAAGUUGAGAUGUAAUUCCACAACCUCAUGAUCAUUCCUGUAAAUGAAACAGUGUGAGCAAGCAUGUUAAGGCAUCAAAAGCAUGGAUGAACAAAUAAUUCAAUCAGGAUGAACAAAAGCUUACUGUCUUGUUUAUAUUGUUCCUUGUCAUGCUCCAGAACAAUUUGGUCUAUCCUUCGUCCAAGAAGCUGCAAAUACUUCCGAAUUUUUGAAAGCACCUGAAGAAAAAUACACCCGAUAAAUACAUAGUUCUGUAAUAGAAUAAAGACAAUGGCCAGUAAAAAUGGUAGACAAGAAAUGAGAUGUACCAAAUCCUUUGGAAGAUUAGCACUAGUAGUUUGUAAUUUGUGAAGACGGUUCAGGGUCUUAAUCUCCGUCUUCAUGACAUCUUCACACCAUUCCAUCCAUUUCACUUCCCUGAACUGCUCAUAUACUUCUUCAUUACCGGACAUUUCACCCUCCUCUUUCACUAAAGGUUCAACUCUAUGGGGUUUAUGGGAUCUAUCCUUCCUCAUUUGAACGUUAGUUACAGGAAAACCAGGUUUUCCUUUCCUGUCCUUGCUGCGAGAUAUUGAGAUAUUCAUAAGAUUCUCUCUCUCCUUCUCCUUUUUAGAAGUCUUGCGACUAGCUUUGGUAUUGGUGUUCUUCCCACCAACAGCUACAAGUUCCUGAUUAAAAACACCUCUGGUCAGUUCUUGCAAUCCAGAAUCAAAGCAGCAAUUUGUGGGAAGAUGGAAACGGAUAAGAGGAGAAAUGAAGAUAUUCCAGGAAACCUAGAGGCACGGCCUUAGGUUAAAAACAGAAAAGAAAGAAAAGAAAAUUUGAGGAAGUUGGCUGAGAUGAUACUUUUAUGUACAUUUCUGGCAUAACCACCAACAUGGACAGUGUAUGUACACACACAUAAAUCCCUCCUAACCCAAUCUUAUCAUCAAUCACCUUUAUCCUAAAAAAUGGCACUCCAAGUUCUCAACAAUUCUUUUCAUAAGCAACACAGAAAUAAUUCAAAAUUUUUGAAGGGGUACAACAGAAAUAUAUCCUUGUACUGCUCUUGCCCAAUGCACAUGUUGGUGUUAGUAUGAUAUCAUCAUGUAAAAAAUGUCAAUAAUUUUAAAUUAAACCUUAUUUUCCAUUUUAUAGUUAUAUUCUAAAUUUAUAUAUGCAUUUAAGUAUCACCCAAUGUGUUUGGGGCAUGUAAGACCUAUAUUGAGCAUUUUUCCAAAAUUUGUCACCAUUUUGAACUCCUGGACCAAUUCUAGGCAGGUUCAUCAGUUACAAGUGACUAGGCUCUCACUCUUUCUUCUUCUUUUCUUUUUUUUUUUUUUUUUUUUUUGCAUUUUUGUUCAUAGCAAACAAAAACUGAACAAAAAUUUUAUUAGAAAAGGGGCCUAGUCAGUCCUAAACACAAGAUAUAAACACGCCCAAGGGUGAAACAAGAAAAGAAGGGAGAACGCAAAAGAAUACAAGCUGUAGCUCCUAGUCAGUCCUAUCAAUGCAAUCCAAUAGCAUAAUAUUGGCAUUCCUAAAAACAACACUAGACCACUGAAACAUAGAUUCAAGGAAAAAAAACAUAUCAGCAACUAAUCAGAGCACUCCUCUUAAAUCAUGCUAUACACUCUCAAUGCACACCAAAACAAACAAAGAGGGACUGAAUCUUGCACCAUCCUACACUGAUUGCCCACACUUCUACCAUGCCACCCCAGCAGUAACUCUUUAAACAACCAUGGAAACCCGCACUGAAUUUGAAACAAAGAGAGAAAAAGGUCCUAAAAACAAACUAGCCUAAUGACAAUGAAUGAGAAUAUGAUUUGUAGACUCCUUAUACCAACAUCUCUGUUUUUUUAUAAAUAACUAUUCCACAAAUCUUCACUGAUUAAAAAAAAAAAAAAAAAAAGCUCUUACACAAAUCUUCUUUAAGACAGCAAGUCAGGAGCAACAAACUACAGAUUACUUGUAUCAAUUGUUUUAAUAGAUUGACCUGCAAAGCAUUUUGAACUAUUGAUUAUUAAAAUAGACAUACACUAAAAAUCAUUUAAAAUGUGGUGCUUCCAAUUAUGCAGUCAAUUCUCACACCCAUAUUCUGUUUUCAUUUUUAAUAGAAUUUUUCGCCCAUAUUCUCCAUUCCAUGAACUAAAUUCUUCAACAGGUUGAGAUUAUCACAGCUCCCAUACAGCAUGAACCCAAUCAGGGAUGAUUACUAUUUUCCAAACCAAUUUAUUCUCACUAGAAAAGGGCCGAUAUUUAGCUCUCAACAUAUGAAGCCAUUGGAAUAAGUAAACCAUUAAUGAAUGACAGAACAAAAAUAAAAUAAGAAAUGAAAAUCCAGACUCCUUUUUGCACUGCACAGUGGGGCAAAGCAGCAGUUCGCUAGCAGCAAAUUAGUACAUUGCUUUGACUCUCAACUUAAAUAUUUGACUUUUCAGGGGAAGCCAAUAUCUAGCAAUCAUAAAGAAUCAACAAAGUACUCCAGAGAAAGUACAUUUACAGGCGAUCAAUGUGAAUUUUAAGCAGAAGAUGGGCCAUUCAGUAACACAGUUUAUAGGUAAACACUGAAACCAUCUUUUAUAACAUUGUGUUUUUUUUUUUAACCUCUUUCCUAGCUGAUCCGUUUCCUAACAUAAUAAUCACUAAAAUCUGUUUUCUGCUAACAACAGAACAAAAGUUGGAGAUUGCUAACAUAUGCUGAACAUUAAAUUCACUGCCUCUGUAAUUUAUACUGCCUAUGCAGAGUACCCAUUUCCUAUUAUUUUAUUACCCUACCAACAAAUUUACCCUCGGUAUGUUUACGUGUUUAGUGCUAUAAUUCAGCAUAAAAGAUUUUAGUUGACAAACAAUGCUGAAGCAACUCUCAUUCAUCCAAGGAAUGGGCAUAAGUGAUUGCCUACCAUUUCCAGAAGUGCAGAAGCACGGUCUUUCAGGUUGGGAGCACGAGGUAGGAAGGUUUCGUGGUGUUGAAGUUCAACUGGAGCGAUCUUUUUUGUGAGACCCAGCCUUUCAUCUAAUCUUAUCUUUUCCCAAUUGCCAAAUCCAUGAUAAUGUAUUCCAAGAAGCAAUCUGGCAUCGUCAACUAAUGACAAUAUCAAUAGUUAAAAGUAUUACAAUCAGAAAAACAUAACUGAAUUUCCUUUCUAUCAAAAAAAUAAAGAAAUGAAAAAUAUAAUAGAAAAAUGAUAACACUUACUCUGAUUCCAGCCACAACCUUUAGACCAAUUUGAAGGUUUGAGGUACAUUAACACCCGGAACUGGGCAAUGGGAUCUUCAUAGCGACUGAUGCGCUUAGCUAGGAGCUGAAGUUCUUGAACACGGUUAAGUACUUCAUUAGCUUUUACCGGGACACCAAAAAAGUCCAACAUAGGCCCCUAUAGAGGAAUACCACAUGAAAAUGUUAAACCACUAAAAAAUGCUUCCAAAACAAACAAGAUGCAGAUAUAAAAUUCAAGUAACAAUCUGUGACUCCAGAAACAAUCUUACAGCCAACCUUUGGGUCUAGAUUUCCUUCUUUAACUGCCUCUCUACACCCAUCAAUUAAUGCAUCAAAAAGCUCAAUUUGUGCUUCAGUUGGAGCUGCUUCAAUUGUACCACCAACCUCCAUGACAAUUGAGCCAAUUUGACUGGGGUUUCCAAAUUUCAAUACCUGAUUUCAAAAGGAACUAAAAAUUAAGCAAUUGAAGUUGUAGUGUACAAUGCAAAAAGAAAACAAAAUUUUAUGGCAUGUGACCAAAGAUCCAGCUUUGUAUAUCACAGAUGAAAAUGCAGAAUCCUUGUCCACCAUGACACAAGUAUUCUGAUUUUAACCCAAAUACUUGCACAUCUUGCAAGGAAUAGUCAAAACUAAUUAAUCAAAAGCCAAUUUUCUAGCAACCUCCUGUAAGGUGCAACCCCAAAGACAAGGUUGAUGAAUAGGACAUUACCGCACGAGAAAAACGUGAUGCAUCUCUCUUUGGCAAGUUACCAUAAGACCAACCCCUUACUUGAGCAGCCGCUCCCUCAAUCCUUGGCACUAAAUGAACCAAAUAAUCUGCUUUGCGGCGCUUCUGAGCUCUCUCCUGUGGUUCAGCAGCCUUCUUUUUCCUUUUACUAAUUCUCUCAGGUUGAUUAGCCUCAGCAUAGCUCUUGGUAUUUCUUGCAGCACGUGGAGCUAAAGCAUCCUAAAAGGGAGUAAAAAAAAAUUUAACAGAAAACUUGUAAGAAACAGAAUCCUCAGACAAAUAUAGAGAAUAGUCAGUUGCAUUUCAGAUUCAAUCUUAUCAACACAACGUGUUCAUACUUCAGCUUCCGCUACAGCUUCUGGUUUUAUCCAACGGGACCAGAAACUCCCAUCAUCUUCAGCACUACCGAAAUUUGCAACCUGGGUAUAAUAAAAUAAAAUAAAAAAAAUUAAAAAAAAAAAAGAGAUCUCCUCAGGAAAAUGCAAAGGGACCGACUUGCUAUAACAUGAAAGCAGAGACAACAAGAAAUCAAACACAAGCAACAAAUAACCACACUUAAAACCUCCUCUAACCCAACCAAACCCCCACCCACCUCAAGAGAUGGGAAAAAUAGAACAAAAAAUAAAGCACAGAACAGUUUCAAGCCCCAAGGGUGAUUGCUAUAUGCUUACCUUAAAAGCACUCAAUAAUUCAUUCCCUUCCUCUCCAGUUUCCUUCUCUUCUACUUUCUCUGCUCUUUCAAGAAUUUCAUCAAUAUCCAUACUUAAGAGCCUCUUUUUGCUUUCUUCUUCAUUUUUGUCUUCCUUAAAAAGUUCCUCCGCCCCAAACCUUAAAAUAGCCGACAGCUCAUUCUGCAAUCAAGAAAAGAAAAUGUUGGAUGGAGCAAUCACACUAUACAACCAAAAAAAACAGCAAUGCAACAUGUUCCUAAAAAUAUAAAAUGACAUAGGAAGAACUACGGUUGCAAGGAAGAUGAACAAAAGAGAAAUCGAGAAGAUGAUGGCAAUGAUGAUGACUUCAAUUAAAAAACAACACCAACAAAGCUUCAAAAUCCAAAACCAUCUCCAAUGUAAUCCAAUAAGAACAAUUGUUUUACAAUGUAUCCUUACUUUGUCAAAGUAACUCCCCUUUUUCGAUUCUUUCUUCUCCAGUCUACCUUCUGCAUUUAGUUUUUGAAUCACCAAAUGAUCAAGUACCUAUAAAGAAAAAAUGGGAACAUAAGAAAAAACAUGUAAAUUGUUUGGCCUCAAUUAGUGAAAUAGUAGAGACCAUAUAAUCCACCAUGUGUGCAAACAGACAUGCUUUUAAAUAUAAACAGUAUGAAAAGAAAAGGAUUUAAGCAUAGACAAAGAAAUGUUUGGUUUACCAUCUUUUGCUUGGCUCGCUUCAGAAUAUUUUCCUCAACACUUUUGCUUGUAACAAAUCGGUAGAUGUUAACUACUUCUCGUUGCCCAAUUCUAUGAGCCCUACUCAUUGCCUAGUGCAUAAAGCUAUAAUAAGUAUAAUUGAGAAAAAUAUAACCAACUACAUGACCAAACUAAGGGACAUCCAGUCAAAACCUGUAAGUCAUUUUGGGGAUUCCAGUCAGAAUCAAAUAUAAUAACUGUGUCUGCAGUUGCAAGGUUAAUGCCCAGGCCACCAGCACGGGUUGAAAGGAGGAAACAGAAAUCAUCACUUCCAGGUGCAUUAAAAUGAUCCAUUGCCUGCUGACGCAACUCAGCCUUUGUACUACCAUCAAGCCGCUGAAAUUGGAACCCUCUAAGUGACAUAUAUUCUGCCAGUAUAUCCAACAUUCUAACCAUCUGCAUAAAACAAUCUUGUCACUUAAAUAGCCAGUACAAUUGUAUCCCUAAAUAAAGAUAGUUUGUUAAGACAUAAUUUUGAUCAAUAGACGACUAAUCUUGAUCAACUUUCAUCUAAAUAUAAAGGACACAUGGUACAAUAAAUAAAUCAUAAAAAAAAAAAAAUUAAUUUAUGUAUGUAAACUGUAAGCAUAGUUGACCCUAAUAAAUAUUAGCCAAAUAUUGUUAUGAUCUCAUAGGCAAGCACACACCUAAUCAAUAAGGAAAACAAAAAGACCUACAUGACACCAAGGUGCAAUUUUGUUGAUGAUUGCAUGCUUCAAAGAAAAUUUAAUGGAUUUUUUUUCCUUCAGUGGUCUAAAGAGGAGAACAAAUUGUUUGAGUAUAAUUUUAAGGGGGUAACUCACUAAAUACCUUACAAAACUUAAUUUCAUUUUUAUAUUUCAUAUCUUUUUUUUUAUGAAAUAUUUUAAAUCCUCUUCUAAUUAAACAAUUUUCAACUUUGUAUACCAAUCCUUAAGACUUCCCAUUUCGUAUGGAGAUAUAAGAGCAAAAGAUUAUGAAGUAGAAGAGGGAAGAAGCCCUCUUUACACCACUUCUCUAAUAAGCAGUAAGUACAACACCAAACAGCAGGAGAGUUGAAAAUUUAAUGUCCCUUUUCAAUGCAGAAGGCAUAAUUUGGAUGUAAAUGGAAUAUUUAGUUAAGCCACCCAUCUUGUUCCUUUUGGAAUAGAUAUGGCAUUGCCAGAACCAGGUUUGUAUAAGCAUCAUAUAGGGUACUAUAAGCAUUACCCACUUCCAACAGAAACUAAGAUGAUAAAGCAGCAAAAAAAAAACAUAAAUGGGAUUAUGCACAAUAAAAUCAUAGUCUCUUUUCAUGACUCCCAAGUGGAAUAGAUUAAUUCAAGAGAAAGGAUGAUAUCAGCUAUUACCAAAAACCAUGUAAUACCUGGCCCAACAAUUGCUAAUACAUUAGUCAAAAUGCACAAUAGUUGGCAACACAAACCUGAGAAAAUAUUAGAACACGAUGAUUCGUCUCAUGCAAUUUCUCAAGUAGCUUAUCAAGUAAAACAAGCUUCCCACUGCUUAAAAUAAGCCUCUCCAGUUUACCGCAGUCAUUGGUACUUCUGUUCCCACCAUAACCAUGGUCUGCGCUUUCAAAUAGAAAAGGAUGAUUGCAGCAUUUCUUCAAUUCUACAACAAUAUUUAGAAGUGAAACCUGCAAUUUUGAAAGGAUUGAUAUAUGUCAAAGUUCAAUUACAAUGGAAUGGGGAAAGAAUAGCCAUGAGUAAAUCAAGAGUUAUUCAGAAAGUUAAAUCUCUGGUCGGUCAAGUCAUAAAAGCAGUAUAUUUUGAUCAUUUUAGCAAGGUCAUGCUCGAAUCUCACGAUAACAACUAAAGCUAAAAAUCAUAGACAAUAAUAACAUAUACAGAUAAUAGGCACCAUCUAACUUCGUCAAGGAGCUGUGACAAAAGUACCCAAACCUAAACAAUUUAAAUAAGAAUAUGUUGUAUAUGUACUAACCUGAUUCCCACGAACUCCUUUGUUCAAGUCAUGGAAAUUGCGUUCCAAAAUCCACUUAUAAUACCUAUGAAUGUAAGUACCAGGUGAGAAUAGAGAAAACUGAUAUAACCAGAAAUGAUACUACUUCAUACAAGUUAAGGAUAAUACUAACUGUUUUUGAAGAGGGGACAUUUCAACCCUAAGAAUACGUUCAAUUUUUGGAGGCAAAGACUUCUCUACAUCCUUGAUAACUCUUCGAAGAAUAUGGGGCCUCAAUUCCAUAUGAAGAUUUGCAAGCUACAAAAAUAAAUAAAAACAAAAAAUAAAUUUAAAUUCCAGUUCUAGGUGUAGUGAAAUUGGUACUUUGUUGAAUGAAACUAAAAUUUAUUGGGUGAUGAGCGAGGCAAAGAAAUUGUGUAAUGUAGAUAACCAUAAAUGUACCUCCAUUUCGUUGAAUGAGCUAAGAUUCUUGUAAUUCUGAACAAAAUCAUCUUUGUUCUUGAAUUUAUCAGGAUCAAGGAAGUGAAGUAGAGCCCUAAAAUUCAAAAGAAAAAGAAAAUAAAAGAGAUAAACUAAAGAACCAAGUACCUAUGCUUGUGCAAAGGAGAUAUAUAUGGCAUCAAUAGUAGCCAGUGAAUCCUUUCAAAAAAAAUAGACAAAAGGAAAAUAAAAAUCAGUGGAGCCACUAACUUUCUUUUACCAAAAAUAAUAAAAAAUAAUACUACUACAAUAUUGUGGAGAAGGCCAUGAAGUAGAGGUAUAAUGUGGGGAUGAGGGCCCACUAAAAAGGGCUCUGGCAGAUGGCAGUAGGGUGUAGCUUUCAGGUCCUCUGGAAAAGGUUGAAGAAGGCCUAAUGGGUUUAAAGGUGAGAGUAGGGGUCACAGAUAGUGGGAGGGACCAGGAGGGGUUAGUUCCCUCAGAAGAUUGGUCCAACAGUAGCCUAGCUAUUUUUUUAGCAAGUGUUUGGGCAUGCCAAUCAAGGGCUACAAGGUAGAAAUGUUGACUCUCCUAAGAAAAUUGAAGGCAAGAAUGGAGUCGAAGGGCCAAGUCAAUGCAAAGAGGAGGAAAGUAUACACUUCAAAAUUUAGAAGACAGUUAUGGAAGUUGGAGUGCUCAGUGAACUAUAAUGGAGCAAAAGGAAGGGGAAGCAAUAAUUGUUCAGCAUGAUGGGAGCUGGUUUCAGUUGGUAAAUGAAGCCGAGAAUUCUCUCUUGUAAUAUUAGAGAGGCCAACAAUAGGGAAAAGAGAGAAUUUAAUGUCUUCUUAUUAGAGCACAAAAAGCAAUCCUAGUUUGUUUACAAGAGACGAAAAUCCAAAAAAUGUCGAUGAAGAUUGUGAGAAGUUUAGAGGUGAGAUUUUUUUUUUUUUUAUUUAUCAGAAACGAAGAAAAAUGUAUUAAUAAAAGAAAAGAUACAAGAGAAGGAAAAGGGGUGAGAAUAUUUUUAGAAUGGGGUGUUAUGGAUGAUAAGGAUACAGCCAGAGGUGGUGUAGUUUUUUGGAACUACAGGAUGUUAGAGCUUGUUGGUAUGGAAGCAGGUGGUCUUUCGAUUUCUUAUCAUUUAAAAUAUUAUGAAGAUGGCUUUGUUUGGAUCUUCAUGAGGGUGUAUGGGCAAACUAUAAGGAGGGAAAUAGAGUUUGUGGGCUGAGUUAGAGGCAAUUAAGGGUUGUGCAAUGAUCCCUGGUGUACCAGGGGAGAUUUCAAUCUCAUCAAGUUCUCGAGGGAGUGUAGUAGAGGGGAACGUUGUCUACAGCCAUACAAAGAUUCUCGGAGAUCAUUGAGGAGCUCAUUUACAUGAUCUCCCAUUGUCGCAAGGCCCAUUUACUUGGUGUGGCGACUUGAGCAAUCAAUCCAUGUCAAGAUUAGAUCAAUUUUUGGUGUCUAAAGAGUGGAAAAGUCAUUUUAGUGUGUUGAUGUAGUGCUCCUUGUCGAGGCCUACGUCAGAUCACACUGUUUUGUUAGAUGGGAGUGGGAUGAGGAAUGGCAGCUCACCUUUCAAGUUUGAGAAUAGGUAGCAGCUGAAGGUGGAGGGAUCUAAAGACUUGCUCAAGCUUUGUUAGAUGGGCUUCAUUUUAGAGGUUUCUAUAGUUUCAUUUUGGCUUCCAAAUUGUAAGACUUGACGGCAAGUUUGAAUGUGUGGAACAAAGAAGUCUUAUGCAACAUUGCAAUCCAAAAGGAAUUGACCUUAAAUCAGGUGGGAUUCUAGCACUACAAAGAGAGGGAAUUAAUCCUCUCUCAAGGGGAGGUUGAAACUAGAAGGGUAUCAAAGGAAGAAUAUGCAUGAUGACCUCAUUGGAUGAAGCAAAAAACACGAGAGAUUUGGUUGGAGGGGGAUAGAAAUGCCAAGUCUUUUCACAAAAUGGCUAAUGUGCAUAGAAAGAUAAUUUUUUUAACCAAGAUAAAACUAAAUGGGGAGUGGCUCUCUAAGGAGAAUGAGAUAAACGAAGAAGUGGCACAGGCUUUCCCGGUUCUAUAGUUAGAUCUGGAUCAAACAUCAAUAGCAUAUCUUUCAAUGCUUUGGAAAGACGAGAGACAGAUGGUUUAGAGGGGCCAUUGGUAGAGGAGGAAGUAUUCACUGCCCUCUCAAAUUUAAUUGGGGACAUAGAUCCAAGCCUUGAUGGGUUCUUUAUGGUUUUUUGGCAAUUUAGUUGGAACUUCUUAAAAGGUGAGAUGAUGGGUUUCUUUAGCAAGAACCAAGGAGAUUGGCUUGACUUGGAAUAAGUUACCCAAGGAGACUCAGGUUUAUUUUAGCAAGAACAGGGCUAAACAUACAGACUAACUGCACUUGAUGAACGCGGGAAAAUGUUCGUACUCAAGAAACAUGUUCAACAUACAAGCAUUCUAAAACCUAGAUGUUUACACCUUGUUUGGGAUUACUUCUUGCCUUUGGAAUUAGUUAGAAGUUAAAACCAUGAUUCAAAGCGAAAAGCGAUGAGGAACUUUUUACUCUCUAUUCAUGUAAUCAAGGAUUUUAUCCUGAAAUGUGAGAAAUGAUAUGGAGAAAUGAAAGACUAUUAAGGCACUGAUUAGAUCUUAUAGGGUUAAUCUUGUGUGUCUGCAAGAAACAAAGCUUCAGCAAUUGAAUUCUCAGUUAGUGAGAAGUUGGGGUGUGUGUAGAUUUCUAGAUUGGGGAGUUGUGGAAGCCAGAGGUUUUGGAGGUUUUUCGUUUUUUGGGACAGCAGGGAGCUUGACCUACUUGAUAUGGAAGUUGGUGUUUUCUCUAUUUCAUGUCGAUUCAGAAACUGCAAAGACGGUUUCACUUGGCUUUUCUCAAGGGUGUACAAUCCUGUCCAAAUAGUGGAAGUUUGGGCCCUCAAUCCAAUUUGAGUGGGGAUAAAGCUCCAAGACCAAAUGGCCCUUUUUGUUCAAAAACAAAAGAUGUAUUAAUUACUAUAAAGAGGUCAUGAGAAGGAUGAGAAAUCCUCUCUAUAAAAUACAAACCUGAUCAAACACCAAAAAAAUCUCCGCUUUACAAAAAGAUUUGGACAAAAAAAGGGAAAAGACUAUACAAGUGGUACAUCUCCACAAGCUCAUCUAGGCUCCUCGCAAUGUAGGCCCAACGCUAAGGGGUACCCGAGACCAAAUGGCUUCACCACGGCAUUGUAGCAGUUCUGUUAGGAGUUUGUUAAAUAGGAGGUGAUGGGGUUCUUCAAAGAAUUUUUUUAUAAUAGCUUUUUCAGAUCAGUAUUAAUGCAACUUUCUUGGUCUUAAUCUCGAAGAAUGGUGAUGCGGAGGACUGAAAAAAUUUCAGAUCAAUUAGCUUAGCAGAUGGCUUUUUUAAGAUUUUGAUAAAAGUCUAGGCUAACUGACUCAAAAAAGGUUGUGGGACAAGUGGGCUUAAACUAUCAACAUGCCUUCAUAGCCAAUGCGGCCAUUGAGUCAAUGUUGAAAAGCUCCAAUAAAGGAGUUAUUUACAAAAUGGAUAUUAAGGAGUAUGCCCAUGUCAAUUGGGAAUUCCUAUUGGCAAUUUUGGAGAAAAUGAGUUUUGGUCUUAAGUGGAUGAGAUGGAUCAAAUGGUGUAUAUCAUCAGAAAAUAUAUAUGUGCUUUAUUAACGGGACCCCAGUUGAACUAAGUUGAGAAAGGGGGACACACUUUCUCCCUAUUAUUUAUCUUGGUCAUGAAGGUGCUUUGUAAGAUUCUAAGGAGAGCUAGGAAUGGGGUUUUCAUCAUGGAUUUCGAGGUGGGUGGUAGAGGGGGCGAGGGGUUAGAUUUGACUCAUCUUCUAUUUGCUAAUGAUACUUUAAUUUUUUUUUUUUUUUUUUUUUUUGUGACUAAUCAAAAGCAUUUAGAGUAUCAGAGCUAAUUCCAAUUGAAGGAACUGAUAACAUGGAGGCCCUUACCGCUACUAUGAGAUGUGGGACGAGGUGCAAGAAAGAUCUCAAAGAAGGCUUGCCAUAUGGAGAAGGCAAUAUCUUUCCAAAUGAGGGAGAUUUAACUUAAUUAAAGGUAUAUUGUCGAGUCUUCCUAUCUACUUCAUGUCUUGUUCAUAACCUUUAAAAAGGUGAGUCUAAGAUUGGAGUAUAUCCAAAGGAACUUCCUUGAGGUGGGGCUGCAUCAAAGGAAAAGCCUCAUUUGGUUAAUUAGUCCAUAGUUUGCUCAAAUAAAAAGAAUGUGGGCCUUGGCAUUAGGAAUCUCUCUUCUAUAAACAAGGCACUCCUUAGCAAGUGGUGCUAGAGAUUCACAUCUCAAUGUGAGUCGCUUGGAAGAGUGUUACUGCAUAGAAGUUCAAGGAAGAAGGGGGAUGGUGCUCAAAGGCAAUGGGGGAUGGUCAUGGGGUGGGUGCGUGGAAGGCUAUUAGAAAUGAGUGGGAGUCCUUCGUUAGAACUCACUCCAUUCCUCGCAACAAUAGAAGAAGGGACUAAUUCUAGAAAAAUAGAUGGUGUGGUGACUCAUCCCUGGAAGUAUCGUUUCCGUCUCUAUUAUCUUUAGCCAAUGAUAAAGACUCUUAGGUAGUAGGAGCAAGGAGGAAAGGGUGAUCUAUAGAGCCCCUGCUUCUCAAGGCAUUUUCAUGAUUGGGAGAUUAAAGAAGUGAUGACCUUUCUACAAAUAUUGCAGAAGAGCUCAAUUUAGAGUGAGGAAGAGGACAAAUUGGGGUGCAAGGAGUCCAAAAGUGUUGUGUUUUUAGUGAAAUCUUUCUUCCAUUCUUCAGUUCAAGAAAAAAUGAGUUUUUCCCCUCUCAGCAUGGUUUGGAAUCCAUGGGUACCUGUGAAGGUGGGAUUCUUUGCAGGGUAAGCAACUUGGGGGAGGAUUUUAAUGACUGAUCAGCUUAAAAAGAAGGGGAUGGACAAUGCCUAAUCGUUGCUUCACAUGCCUAUGACAUUUGGUUCUCUCUUUUUGGUGUUGUUUGAGUGAUGCAUUCCACCAUCAGAGAAAAUCUUUUGAGCUGGCACGUUCUUUCGUGGGUAAAAAUGGAAAAAAGCUUAAAGGACUGCUCCUUUAUGCUUGUUUUGGGGAGCGUGGAAGGAAAGAAAUAGGUCUUUUGAAAAUUCAGAAGAAUCUGAUCAGAAAAUCAGAUCUUGUUUCAGGAACUCCUUUUUGGAAUGCAUUACAGUGUACAUAGAUGACCAUUCAUUGUCCAUGAUAAACUUUGUUGCUUGGCUUAGCUUAAUGUAAGGAGAGGGAGGUUGUCUUUUGUGUUUCUCUCGUUUCUCAGCACACCUUUUGUUGGUGUCACAUGCACACACCAUGUGUACAUUGCUGCACCUUUGCUUAGGCAUCUUUGAUAUAUUUAUGCUAUUUGCCUAUAAAAAAACAGGCAAUCUUGAGAUUAUGGAAUUUACGCUAAACAAAAAAUGGCUCCCAAAUAAGCUAAAAAUGGGAGAAGCAACACUUCCAUGUUAAACUCUUUUUGAAGCCAGAGCACUUUUACUAAAAAAUAAUGUGAGUGGCAAUACAAGAAAACCUAGAAUAAGAGAUGAAUGCACUUACAAAAAGACAAUAGUACAAAAAAUCAGGACACCAUGAGAAAGCCUAGUUGGUUUGGUCAAGAUAUACAAAGCACUGAAGACAUCUUGAAUGGGAAAAGAUUGGUAGGGCAGGAGAGAAGAAAAACACCAUGGCAUGUGGCUUAACCAAUGAUAAAGCCUUAGAGCUGCAGCAAUGAAAGAAUUAUAUAGAAAGCUAACUAGUUAGGUGUUGGGCUGUCCUUUGCAUCUGAUUGAGUAUCUUGAUUAAAGCAAAAUGAAGACUACCGAAGACUAUGAAGACAGAUUUAACCUCAAAGUAAUGUUUUAGAAUCAACUGAACUAAACAUGGAUUGCAAGUUAUCCAAAACAACAGGAGUAGUGAGACAGCAGAAAGAUUUAUUGCCCUUCUAACAGUAGAUAAACUAUGUGGAUUGACCCACUGACUCUUCAUUAGAAAAGGAGGCAUAAUUAUAAAAUGACAUUUAUAGAUAUGCAUGUGACACUUAUGAUCAAAAACUAUAAAAAUCAAUCAAAGAAUUUGAAACAACUUUGAGCACCGGAACCCGCAAUCUUCACAAUAAUUUGAGGGGAAAACCAAUUACCAAAGCUCUUCAACACUGUUCUGUAAUGGAGUACCAGUGAUCAGCAACUUGUUCUUGGCACUGAAUUCCUGCAGAAAAGCAAGGCAUCAUCUAGCAUUAACCAAAUAAGACUCAUCAACAAAAAUAAAUAUUAUUUAUUGAAAAGACAAAAGCCAGAAAAUUAUAAUGAAAUAUGUGUACCCAGAGGAUUGUUUACUAUUGUGCUUCAUAAAUAAAAGGCCAACGUAAACAUAUCAUUAAGAAAUACAGCAUACCGAGAGGGUUGUAUACAAUUGUGCUUCACUGUUCUUUAACCUGUGGGCUUCAUCAACCAUGAGGUAGUUCCAUUUGAUCUUAGAAAGCACAGCCUUGUCCUUCAGAACUACUUCAUAAGUAGUCAAUAAAGCAUUGAAUAGAAUAGUCCUGCCAGUUUUCUUAUUAGUGUAAAAUUCAUAUUGCUGACAAACCUGCAAAUAAAAAGUAGCAAAAUUAUAAAUAAAUAAAACAAAAUAAUAGAUAUUUUGAUAAGGACGCAAGUAUAAUAGGGAAAUAACAAUUCAGCAGAAUUGUAAAUAGAAAAUUCUCNAUUUAUCUCAUAAGUCNNNNNNNNNNNNNNNNNNNNNNNNNNNNNNNNNNNNNNNNNNNNNNNNNNNNNNNNNNNNNNNNNNNNNNNNNNNNNNNNNNNNNNNNNNNNNNNNNNNNCCCCCCCCCCCCCCCCACACAUCCAUUUCAUUUGCAAAGCAAUAAACUAUUUAACUGGAUCAACCCAAGUCUACCAACUCCCUCAACAACUCUAUCGACACACCAAAAACCAUUUAACUGCUCCUCAUCCCAUUUAACUGGAUCAACUGUAAUUCCAACUCUCUUGCCAAGAAGACAGCCAGUCACCACUAAUGCAAGAGAAUAUUCAUUAACACAAUUGUUAUAGGCGACAAAAAUUUAUUGGAGGCGCAUAAAUAUAACUCUUCAACCAUCUAUCUACCUCCUCUCACUCCACAACAAAAACAACAACCACCACCAUACAAACACACAGGCACACACAAAGUCAACACAAACACUCUCUAUACCCUGCCUCAAAGGAACAACUCCUCCCCAUCCUUUUGUCCACGCAGUGAUGAACUAUUUAACUGGAUUAAUGCCAACUCCACCAACUCCCUUGUCAACACUACUGCUCCUUCCACCAAUGCAAGCACAUUUUCAUAAACACAAUUGUUCUAGAUGUCAAGCAUUUAUUAAAAGUUUAUAGAAGACAAUACUUCUCCGAUCACACACAAAACCACCUAAAGUUGGAGCUUUUUCCACCAGUAGCAACUGAAAAGAGAGUUAAUAAAGAUGGCCUUCCCAUAUAAGACAAUCUCUCCAGAUAGACAUACUUGUAUAAAAAGUGCAGUCUUAGAUCCAUUGUUUUAUCACUGCACUAUUUCUGAGUUUUUCCAGGGAUUCAUUCUGAAGAGAUAUUCCAAAUAUUUACAGUGUUUUCUCCCAGGGUUAUGUAGGAGAGUUAGGAGACCUUGUGGAAGAUUAGAUUCAAUAGAAAUGUUUGUCUCUUUCAGGAAAAAGAGUGACCCGUUGAUGAGCUGUGGGACAGAAUGUGCUUUGAAAACUCUUAGGGUAUCUAUAAGGAGAGAAACCAAAGAACCUUUGAACUAACAGACUACACGAUUUUACGCUUCUUCAUGUACAUGUUUGUGGAAUGGAUUAGGGUACAUAUAGAGUCUACUUCUUUGUCCCUUUCAGAUUUCAUAGAUUGGUUGGGCUGUAAGUGAAGCGAGGGUGUUGUUUUUGCCUAUCCCUCCUUUUUUUGGCCUUGUAUACAUCAUGUAUACUUCAGCAGCUUUUUUGGCACUUUUAAUACAAUUGUUUUACUUAUCAAAAAAAGGGUAUCUAUAAGGAAAGAGUUUGCUAACAUCCCUAUAAACACUAUUGCAAUGGAUUGGGAUAUAUUUGUCCAACUAAACAAAACUGAGUGGGGUAUCAUUGUCAAUGGUUCAUAUCUGCAGUGGACCACCUUAAGCUCAAUUUCAAUAAAUGUUCAUCUGAACAUCAGGUCAAGCAGGUGCCUAGGGCAAUAUUGAAAUAAAAGGAAUGAGCCUGUUAGCUCAUCUACAAAAGUGGUAAUGGAUUCACUAUAGCAAUGAAGUUAUUAGCCACAUUUGAGGCUUAGAAAGAGGUGUAGGGUUAAAGGAUUUUUUUUUAUAUAACCGCAAAACCUUCCAUGGCCGAGCUCUUCAAACUCUCAAUGGGACCCAAAUGUCAAGGUAUUGACUAUGCCCACCACAAUCAACACCAGGUAAUCUAGGGCAUUCAACCAAUAGCAGGAAUUGAGCCUAGGACCGUGUGCCUCUACCACACAUCCUAGCAUUCACCUUAAUCAAUUGUAUACCCUGAUGGAUAGAAAGAAGUCCACAGUGACAAUUGUUUGAAUGUGGACAAGGCAUAUAAACCCUAAGGCCUACUCCUAAUGCAUGGAUCAUAUCAUUUUUUUGAUGGGUAAACACAGAAGAGAAUAUAUUAAAUAGAAAAGGAAGCCCGAAGGGCAACCUAAGGCAUUUUACACCCAAUCCCCCCUUACUUUUAUCCAAGCAUACAACCCUCCAUUUAACAAGAUAAAUUUUCCUCUCCAAAGCCCCCCCACCCCAAAGGAAAUCCCUUUGGAUUUGCUUAAGUCUCAAUCUAACCGAUCUAGGCAUACGCAAAAUUGACAUGUAGUAAAUAGGCAUGUUCGACAAAGUGCUUCGAAUAAGAGUAAGUCUCCCCCCUUUAGAUAUAUAUUGCCUCUUCCACAAAGCUAAUCUCCUCUGUAACCUCUACUCCACCCCAUCCCACACCACCACUGAUUUGUGAGGUACACCCAAAGGAAGCCCUAAAUAUAAGGAAGGGAGCUUCCCCACCUUACACCAAAGCUCAAGAGCCAGCUCCUCCAAAUUCUCCACCCUCCCUACGGGAAGAAUCUCACUUUUAUCCAGAUUAAUUCUUAAACCAAAUAUGACUUUAAACCACAUUAACACCCAGCUUAGGUGAGCCAAUUGGCCCUCAAAGGCAUCACAGAAAAUCAGCGUGUCAUCAACAUACAGCAGAUGGGUGAAUUGAACUCCCUCACCACCCCUCCCUUUAACCCUACAGCUAGUCAAAAAGCCCCCACUAACCGCUCUCUUGAUCAAACAGCUCAAGGCCUCCAUACCUAUUACAAAAAGAUAGGGUGAAAGGGGGCCCCUUGUCUCAACCCCCUGGAGACUGGGCAAGACAUGAUUCCUUAUUUACAUGGCAACCCAGAUCCACUAAUCAAGAAACUGACAAUCUCAUGAAAGAAAGCCACAACAUAUAUUGUGUUGAUAAGAGACAUUUACCCUCCUUGCAGUGUAUGGAUUACAUUUACGGUUUAUUGUAUUGUAUAAUUUGUAUGGCUAUUGGGUUUUUACCUUUUAUGCUGAACACAUAGUAAAAGGAAUGCAAUUUAACACUUUCAAGGUUAUUAAAAUAAUUUGAGUCAAGCAGGAAUUUUUUGUUUUUUUAGAAUUCUGAUAAUUUUUUUCUCAAGUCAUGUGGCCCCAUAAUAAAAUCAGUAUAUGUACCAAACUCAAACUUUCCAUUGAUAACAAACUAUUUUAAUUAUCAAAAUAUAAAAUAAAAAAUAACAUAGUCACCAUAAUUAGGAAAUAAUGAAACACAAUUUGCUUGGUCCAGAAAAUGCCUUUUUUUUUUUGGCCAGGGGGCAAUUCUUUCUGUACAUGCCAAAGAUAACAAACAACUAUAAAUCCUGACAGCAUAUCAACAUCAACCCACCCAAUACAAAGUAUGACUCACCUCUCGGCUAGCACGGGUCCCAACAUAAACAAUGACAUUCAAGUCAGGAAGCCACUUCUUGAAUUCUUUUGCCCAGUUUGAUAAAGUCGAUAAUGGUACAACAACAAGAAAUGGUCCAUAUAUUUGUUGAGCAUUCUGUAAGAACAAAUGAAUGUUUCCUUGGAUUAUAAGUCUACAAGGAACUACAAGAAAAAAGUAAUAAUAAUAAUAAUAAUGACAACAACAAUAACAAUAAAUGAUAAUAAACACAAAAGCAAUAAUAAUACUACUAAUAAUAACUACUAGAUGCUUACCUGCAAAAACCCAAGCAUAGAAACUGACUGCACAGUUUUGCCAAGACCCAUUUCAUCAGCCAAAAUAACAUUAGUAUCAUUUCUCCAGCUGUUCUAUGAAAGAGAAGCUGAUUAGUAUAUAUGCUAAAAUUAGAAUAUUAUAUUUAAAGUACAUUUUUUUAGUUUAAACUGAUCAUUCUAAAACAAAAGAAACCAGCAUACCUGUUAACAAGAAAAUUCAAGCCUUCAAGCUGAUAAUCACGAAGUUGUCCUCCCUUUAACCACCCAGGCUGCUCAUCAAGCUUCCUUAAACUUGCUAAACAGAAAGAGUAUUCUCAAGUUAUAUAUUAUUUGUGUUAUUUGAUCAGACAUGCAAGUACCAUAUGGUUGAAAAGGAAGAAAAAGGAAAAAAAAGGGAGGAAAAAUUUUGAAGGUUUUAUUAACAAAAUAAUGUUGGUGUUUGAGAAACAAUAUGAGAAUAUACCAUUAAUGAUCAAUCAAUCCAUUCCACACUUAAAUCACUUGGCUCAAUGGCUCAAGCUUUUGUCGAAUUUUGGUGGUAAAAAUGGCUAAGGAUUAAAGAUAAAAAUCAAAGUAAAUGAUAUAAGAUAGAUUUAAGAUAAAAAUCAACCUUAAUGAAGAUUUUGAGUUAGUUUCUCACAUGCUAUGGUAUCACAGUCACUUUUUUCCCUUUUACAGAAUAAAGGAAAUUUUAUUAUCAAAGAAUGAAAGACACAUGAGCGAACUCUUCGCUUAUGAUAAGCAUUCACAUCGCAUACAGAACAUAAUUUGCAGCAAGCGGAUGACAUAGAUAGCUGCUAUAACUAGGUUUUGGGAUAAGGGUGUAUAUAUAUAUAUAUAUAUGUCACUAGCAAUAAUUGUAGGAAAGUUUCACUUUGAGACCCAUACAAAAUCUCAUGAUGAGAAUCAUAGGAAAUUUAUCCUCACAUUAAGGAAUAGAGGAUCUCAAGAUCAUUAGGAAGUAGAAAAUGGAUAGGAAGGAAAUGAAUUUCCCACAUUCAUCAUAAGCAGAAAGCAAAUGGGUUUAAGCUUGAUUAUCUGAAGCAGGAAGCAGUAACAUCUCCAAACGCUACAGAGGUUUUAAAAAAAGUAAUUCAAGUUCUACAAAAUUGUUGGGCACCAAUGUACUGAUAUGUGAUUGAUACUUCAGCAGUAAUUCCAGUUUUUUGUCAUUGAUGCUAAUAAGAACAAAUGUUGGGCAAAAGAGGCAUAAACUUUUCCUUCACCAUUUUAUUUGUACUGUAUGGUUUCUACUCUCUUCUUUCUUCCUUCUUCCAGUUGUUCAUGCAAAAACAACCAUCGAAUACAAUUUAACUAAUUCAACUUGAUCUAGGGCAAACCUCCGACAGAAAGUAAUGACUAAAAAGGUUCUCCAUCAAACCUUCAGAACAAGCUUUUAAAUACAGUUGAACUGAGUGCUCCAGAUCUUUUGAAUUUUAUUAGACCAUUAGAAGCAUUCUUAUGAUUCUUGUGCCUUUCCUAAUCAGUAAGACACUGAACAAUAUUGCAUAGCAAUCCAUAGCAGAGGUUCUCUUUACAGUGUCCAAGGUAAAGUCUGAAUAUUUCCUAGUAGGUUAGUCAGGUUGGAGAAUUCAAAACCCAUACACACCAGUUGGUUGAUGUUUUUUGAGGUUGAAGCUGUCAGUGAUUUCAGAGGCUCAGAGGUAUUACUCAUGAAAUUUUGGCAACUACUUGAGCUGCCUGGCUCAUAACCAAUCAAUAUUCAAGAUGAGCAUUACCCAUAACAACCCAUAGAGGCCAUGCUUCAUAUGAAUAAACCUAACAUUUAUUGCCAGACACAUUACAAUUAUUACAGGGGACUUCAAAACAUCACCAGUAAGGCUGUAACCAGAUUGGAGACUGACCAAACCACACUCUUUUUUUUUUGACAGUAAUCAGACAAAACAAUCUUUACUUAGAAAAUGAGUACAUUUUACUGACAAAGAAAACAAAACAAUGCAAGCAGGAUGGUUUAUAUUCAGGUCAAGAAGGAAAAAAAAAGUAGAAAAUAAUUAAAUAAAAUGAAGACAACAACACUACCCUCAAGAUCUGAAGACCCAACUCCUAUUGGUGACUUAAAAUGGCCCAUAUGGUGCUCCAGGGAUAUGUCUCCUUCCUAAGUUAAGAAUUCCACUUCAUUUACUGAACCAAGCUAACUGCACACAAUUAAGCUCCAUUUUUUAUUUUUUUUUGAUAAAUAAACACCAAAUUCAUUAAAAAUUAAAAAACACCCCCAAGGACGCCACAAUUGAGCUCCACUUCUAUCCUAUCAUAUGGUCCAUGAUCACAUUUGAUGGAUAAACAAGCCUCCAAGAUUCCAGGGCAUCAGAAAGCACCCAUGCGAUGACUGUUUAUUAGGUAUUCUAGCAAAAGCACUCCAGAAACCUGGAAACUGGUAAUUUUCCUGAGGCCAGCUAGGAUUGCCAACACCUCAGCCCUAACAGAAUCCCCCUCAACAACCAGCUCUGAGAACACAUCGACAACCUCAUCCAAACAAUUCUCAAAGAUAACCCCAACUGAUCAAUAGCUUCUUAAAAAUAAUGCCAGAUUGCCAACUAUCAUAUAAAAUAGAAAGAAGAACCAAUACUCCACAUUGUUAGUGUUAUAAAGGCAUUGUGAGGAAAUGCUUCAGUUAUCAACUAACAGAAAUAGAAUUAGAUAGGCAAGUAAGCCACUUUUCAGUUUUCACCUCAAAAACGGUGAUUAUUAUUCUGCAAGUUAUCAAACCUAGACAUAAAACCGACAAUUUGAACCAAGAUAAGAUGCGACUAAGGAACUAUACGGACCUUUACUCUUCUUACGCUGCAUGUCCACCAUUUUUCCUUGGAUGGCAGCUGCAGCUUCACGAGCCUGUUUAAAAAAUGACAGAUCAGGGAUUUCAAAGAGUAUAACAUCCAUGCUCUUAUUUAACAAGAGAAUCAUCUAUAUUGAUACUUGCAGCAAAUACAAAUAAAAUAAAGAAUGGAACAGUAAUUAAAAAGAGAUCAAUGACAAGCAAAAUUAAUGAACUGUAUGAUCAUAAAGAAAACUGGGGAGCUCUAAUAUAACUAAGAUGAUCUUGAAUUACCAUAGGUUAUGAAUCUAAAUACAUUUAGUUUAGUGAUUAGUGGUAAAACGAAUGUAAAAGCUAUAGCCAUAAAGGCAACUAGAAAGAAGAAAAAUUAGCAAAGCACUUCUAUAAUUCAACAGUAUGUGACCAAAAAAACAACCAUUUGCAUGUAUUUUGGCAGAGAAAUAAAAACAUUAAAUUGCAUGCUACCUUGUACUCAUCAAUAGCAUCUUGAGCAAAUGCAAUAUCUACAUCCUUCUCCCUAAAAUGAAACAAAUCACCAUCAUAAGCAUUACAGCUUCCACCACAGAAAGAAAUGAACAAAAUAUUGCAAGCGCCAGAAAAGAUACCAGCAGGGAAUAGAAGCAGAAGUAAUUUAGUAGCUUUUUUUAUUUUCUUUUCUUUUUUUUCUCGGAGGGUGGUGGGUGGGGGGAGGAGGGAGGAGGGGUUGGGGGAGUUGUGUGUUGAAAAUAACUAUAGUGUGUGGGUGUGUUCAAGUUUCAAAAUACCAUGUUGCUUCAGCAUAUGAGAGUCCCUGCCACUUGACUAAAUACUCUGGCAUCACAUCACCUGAGCCCUCUUUACCAAUUCUGUAUGCAAUUAUUCUCUCCACCUGCAAAUGCAUUUGAGAAACUAAGCAGAGAGAAUUACAAACUUGGAGAAGUAAUCCAAAAUAGUAACAAGGUUACAAACAAAAAACAAAAAAUAAGAUCAGUACAGCAAACCUGACUAUUUUGUUUAAUGAGGUCUAAGUCCAUUUCCUUGCUUACAUCAUUGACUUCAAUCUAAUAGGUAAACAAACGCCAAAAGAAAAAAAAAAAGGUUAAUGGGUUUCAUAUAUAUAACUCAAGAAUCAGGUUUAUUUCAUAUCAAUUUUAACUCCACUACAGAAUAAAAAAUAACAUAGAAUUAAAACUAUGAAAAGAGAUUAAUGGGUUGUAAUGCAUACGAAAUAAAUGUGUAAUUACUCAAUUCCACGCCAUAAUCUCACAUUAAUUACCAACUGUUGGCAAGUUGGCAUGAAGCAGUUCCAAAGAGAAUUAUAGGCAGAAAUGUUAAGGUUGCAUCAUUAUUAUGUCACAUGAGUGCACACAAUGAAAUUAAAAUCCGCCUACAAAAAGAGAACAGCAUUACUCUAAUUCAGUGAUUGACAGGGUCUCGAGGAGACUGGAUGAAUUGAAAAAGGUCUUUUAGUCUCUAUGGGAUAGAAUUACUCUAAUUCAAAGUUGCUUGUCCUACAUCCCUAAUUAUUUCUUACCUUUUUUAAAGAUUCCAGUGUAAGUAGUCUCUAAGAUUGAGAAAUUACAAAGAAAUUUUCUCUAGACGAGAGUUGGGGAGGGUAGAAAAGAUCAUCUCAUUGGUUGGGACCUAAGGUGUAAGCCUAAGGAGUAUGGAGGUCUGAGACUUUAGAUUGAUCUCUCUGAGGAAUUGUGCUUUCUUAAGGAAAUGGCCUUAGAGAUUCCCUAGGGAAAGUUUUAACCUUUGGCAUCAAGUUUUUUUUUUGUUUUUUUUUUAUUAUUUUUUUUUUAUGAGUAAAUCAAGAGUGUAUUAUAAACAAAAAAUGUAAAAACAGCGCUCCAAAGUACAUGAGAGGUAUACAACGAACGCUUCAAAGUGCAAAAAAAGGACCAACAAAAACUACGCUCCCUUCAAAAAGAACUCACCUAAUCCACAAAAUCUGCAAUUGAAGAAGGACCAGAAAUUAAAAACAACCCAGACCAAUCCCAUAGAUUAUAAAGAAAAGCAUGUUUUAGUCCUUCAACAGACUGUUCUUCAUUCUCAAAAACUCUUAUGUUUAUUUCCUUCCAAAAUGGUCCAAAAUAAGCAAAGAGGAGCUGCCCACUACACCUUUUUUCUCCUUUUACCAACAAAAGAACCAUUUCAUCUUAAAAGCGUGUCUCUAACAGAAGGAAGUAUCCAAAGCACACCAAACAGGGAGAACAAAAGAUUCCAUAACACUCUUGUCUUAACACAAUGGUUAAGGAUGUGAUCAAUUGUUUCUUCCUCUUCAAGACAAAGAAAACAUCUAUUUGCUAAAGAGCACCAUCUUCUCUUUAAACAAUCUAAAGUUAACACCUUUGCCCAAGAAGCCUCUCAAGCAAAAAAAACCCACCUUCAAGGGAACCCAAGAAUUCCAAAUCACACUAGCAAGAAACUGCAUUGUACUUUCUAUCUCCAAGGUCAAAUAAAGGGCUUUAACAGAAAACUUCUCAUUUUUCAAUCCUGUCCAAAUCACUUUAUCUUUUUGUUCCAUGCACGUGCUCCUCCCUUGCAAACUCAAGAGAAACCACUCCACCAAAUCCAGCUCUUAAUCAUUAAGGGCCCUAGAAAAAUGAGGGGCCCAACACCCCCCUUCAAUUGUCGAGUGUCAAACAUCCACCACCCAAUCCUCCUUAGAAUCAGCAAUAGCAUAAAGAGCAAGGUAAGAAGUACAUAGUGCCAUAUCACCACACCACUUGUCCUUCCAAAAUUUCACCCUUUGCCCACUACCAACCAAGAAAUCAACUUUAUUAUGUAAGAGCUCUCAUUCCUUUCUAAUGGCUUUCCAUAACCUUAUCCCAUAACUUUCUCUCACCACCUUGGAGCACCAGCCUCCCUCUUCCACCCCGUACUUGCCAUUAAUAACUUGCUUCCACAAAGCCCCCCUAUCCUCUGCAAACCACUAGCUCCAUUUACCUAAAGGGCUUUGUUAAGCUUAGUAAGAUUCUUUACUAGCAUUUAUGAGACAAAUCCUAAUAGAUGAUAUGCCAAUAUUAUAGUCAGAUGGUCACAUAGUUAUCUCUCAAAGGCCAUUGCUCCAGUGUUCCAGGUUUCUUCAAGUUACACUCGUCUUGUGGUGGGUGAUGAUGAAUAUUCGCUUCUAAGAGGAUUUGUGGUGGGGGGAUCAACCUUUGUGUUCACAAUUUCCAUCUCUUUAUAGAGUUGUCAUAGUAAAAGAUCUUACCAUUUCAACUAUCCUUAGCCACUCUUCUUUUUCUUCUUCUUGGAAUCUUAAUUUUUUCCGCAACCUUACGAAUUCGAAGAUUGAGGAUCUUGAAAGACUCAUGUCAUCCCUCACUCAUGCACUUGUCUUCAUCCACCCUAUAUGCGAGAGUGUGAUCAUUGACCUCUUCAGGAUUAUUUAUUGUCAAAUCAUUCUUCAUGACUUUGUCUAAUACAUCAGAUUUUGUUCUUUUCUCCUCGACUAAAUUUAUAUGGAAAUCUAAAGUCUUAUCUAAGGUUAAGGGUCUUUACUUGGUUAGUAGCACACAAGAAGGUAAAUACCAGCAACAUACUAUAAUUAAAAAGACCUUUCAAGUCCUCAAGCCUGACUAAUGUAUUUUAUUUAAGGGAGAAAAGAGUGUAGUGAUCAUUUCUUUCUACAUCGUCCGAUAACUUCGGGGCUUUGGCACUAUCUAUUCAAACAAGUCAAGGUUGUUUGCAUUCCACCCAAGAGUAUAUGCGAAUCCGCGAUAUAAUGAUCAACUCAUAUAAAGGUUUGGGGAACUCUGUUAGAAGCAAGACUCUUCGGCAAAUAGCUUGUCACACAUUACUUUGGAUUGUGUGGCAAGAGAAAAAUGUCAAGAUUUUAGGAUAAGUGAAGGAUGACAAAGGGGUUGUGGGAGUUACUACUUUUAAAGGCAUUUUGCUUAGUGUAAUCAAACUCAAUUGGCUUUUGGUGCAUAAAUCAAAAUGGUUUGGACAUCCCUAAGAGGAGUUGCGUUUGUGGUAUAAACCUUUUGCAUCGAUUCCUUUUAUGGCAAAGGAGGUCAAUCAUAUUAUGAUCAGGUUUUUUCGUAAUAGUGGGGAGGACUCCUCAUCCUUCUCAUAUUUUCAUUAAUAAAUAUAUGCUUCUCUUGUUUCUAAUCAAAAAGAAAAAAGAAAAAAGAGGAGGAAAACAGCAUUGAACUUAAAACUAGGAAAAGAGAUAAAUGAGUAAUGAUCACUAAGAACAAUCCCAUGCCAUAAUCUCACAUUAAUUACCAACUGUUCGACAAUUAGUACGGAGCAAUUCUAGAGACUACAAUACACAAAAAUGUUAACAUUGUGUCAUUAUUGUCACUCACACACACACACACUGAUCACAAUUUUUUUUUCCAUUUUUGAUAGGCAAAUAAAGUGAGAAUUUAAAAAUAAAAAUAAAAAAAAUCAGAAACAAAAGAUACAUAUUAAAUGAGAAAAGAAACAUGAGAAGGAUGAGGAAUCCUCCACAUAAAGUACAAGCCUGAUCAAAUUGAGAAUAUAUAUUAAAACCACCAAAAUGAAUAACGCACCAAUGUACAAAGGACAUAUACAACAAACGCUAGAAGGCCAAGCAAAAAAACAAAAGAAGGGAAUACAAAAAAACUACUCCCUCAACAAGCAUCCAACCAAUCUACAAAAUCAAUUAAAGGCAAAGAGUCUUCAUCUAUGCAAAACUAGAACCCCAAUAAGAGGUUGCUAAGGAAAUUGCUUUUAAGGCUUUGGUCAGAUUUCUCCUCAUUUUAAAACAAUCUUCAAUUCCUUUAGUUUCAUAUUAUCCAAAAGAAAUGCAAACAGGCACAACCCUUCAUGCCUUCUCAUUUUCCAACAAAGUGGUCAUGCCAAUCUAAGAGAGUUUCUCUAACCGUGAAAGAAAAAACCUAGGAUACACCAAACAAAGAGAACAACAACUACCUUAAAAUCCUAGUCUUGGCAUAAUGAAGAAGGAAAACAUCCGUUCACUAACAACCAUCCUCUUCUUUGGAGAUAAUCUAAAGUCAAGACCUUACCCCAACCAGCCUCCUAAGCAAAAAGGCUUUCCUUAGACAGAUCCUAUGGAUUCCAAAGUAUCCCUAGUGGAAAAGGAAUGGCACAACCUAGCUCCAAGAUAGAAUAAAGAGCUUUGAUGGAGAAACCUCCAUAACUAAAAUCGUCAAAUCACAUCCAAUAAUGCUGCCCAAUAACCCAGCUGAUUCCCUCAACAUGCCACCCAUGAGCUGCUUUUGCACAUCUUUUUAUAGGGCAAGCUAUUAUAUAUAUAAAGUGUCAAAAUAGAGGGAUUUAGAGGUUAUUUGCUCAUAUAAAACAGUAGGGAAUCGGAGACAUGCAAGAUUGAAAUAUUAAACUGGUUGCUCAUUUUGGGUGAUUCUCCUAGGUGGCAAGGAAGGGAUGGCCUUUCUAUGAGGAAAUUAGAAAGUCAUUUUUCAGUUAAUAGAUAAGGAGGAGAACUCCAAACAAUUUAACUACAGAACUCAAUAAAGAUUGUUGAUCAGGAGCUCUCCCAAGAUUGGAUUGUUAACUGCAUCACCAAUUUAACUUUCAUUAUCCUUUUCCUAGAGAAAGUUAGAUCUUUAGCAAUCAGACUUUAGACCCAUAUGUAAAAAAUUCUAGCUAAGGUCCUCUCUAAAUGAUCCUAUAAGGUGCUCCAUGAGAUAAUGUCCCAUUGCUAAGGAGCCUGCAUCAAGAGUAGAAAAAAUCUUCUGGGCAUCCUAAUGGCAAAAUGGGUCAUCAUUAAGGUGGAUUCAAAAAAAUGCUUGUCAGUUUCAGUGCUUGUUAAUGGGCAAGCUAGGGGUUGGAUUGAGACCACAAGAGGUAUCCAUCAAGGAGGCCUUCUCUCACCAUCCCUUUUUACUAUAGUGGUGCAUGCUCUACUAGGAUGAUUCUUAGAACUAAAGUGUUGUCUUGUUGAGGACAUUGACAUUGGAAGGGAUCCUGUGAGGAUGUCUCAUCUGCAAUUUGUUGAUGGAACUAAUUUCUUCUCUAAUGAUUUGAUUGAGAAUGUCUCCAAUCUUAAACUCAUUCUGGAAAGUCCUCAAUCUGGUUGCAACCCUUAAGAUUAACCCAUUUGCAUGUUCCUCUUGCUGCUAAACCCAAAAUAUCAAUUUUGGAACCCGACUGUUAAGAAAUUUUUAGGAUGCUUAAUGAGCAGAAAAAAUCUUAUUUGUCCUCAGAUGUUCUGAGGAUGGGAGCAGACACUGAGAUUUGAGGUUUCUUAGGAGUUCAAACGGUUGGCUAAGAUAUGAGUCCUUUCUCUUGUUAAUUUUGAGUUUUGAUACUUCAUUCCCACAGGGAUGGAAAGAAAAAGGUGUCCUGCAACAAAGAAUUUCAUUUUCCUUCUCUUUCUAUAGUCCUAAAUAUUUUUCAUUUACAAGGGUUUUUCAUCUUUUAUACUUUUUUUUUACUAGAAACAAGAUUAUUCAUUUCAUCAGAAUUUGGUAAAUACAAUGAAAGAUAAGAGUCCUUCCAAGAUUUACAAAAACACUGAUGAAAAAGAAAAAGUAUGACUAUAACUCCAAAUAUAAGCAAAAACCAAUUGCACAUCUUAUAGAGGAACCAAAAACAAAGGACAACCCAAGACCACACUACACAUCUCAAGGGGGUAAAAAGAAGCAACAUCUUUUUGUAUAUUUACCUACUUUUAUCAAUACAAUAUAAAUAUACUUUUUUACCUACAUAUAGGAAGAAGCAACAUCUCUCAUGUGCAGUAAAUAAAGACACGAACUUUUUAGAGAAGAAAAGUCAACAAUUUUCCAAUCAUUAAUAAUAUUGCAUAAGACAAGCUCCACUAAGGAUAUCGAAGUAGAAAGUAUAAAGGUUUACAACAGCAGUGUCUUUUUGCCUCAAGAGACCUCACAACCUAUCCAUACCCUAAGGGGUAACUUUUUCCCCUAUGGAAAAGAUAGUCAAUUAUUUCUCACAAAAUAACAUUUGAAACAUAAAAUUUGUUAUCUUCAAAUUAAUUUGCAAACCAUAAAGUGAAUCUGAAAUUUCUUAGCAAGAUUUGACAUGAAGAAAACCAUAAUGAGUGCUUUAUAAAGAUUUAAAAUGGUGAUUAAAAGUGAAGUUUACACAAAAGCACAACUCAGUUUUCCACCAUAAACCAAGCAACUUUUUGCACCAUAUUUCUUUUUCUCAUCCUUGAAACAGUUGGGAGAAGUGGAGAACAUGCAUAAAAGAUUUUUCACAAAACAAUGAAAGGCUCAUAAGCCCUGCAUCCAAACCAUAGUCCACAGUGAAACAGUAAAUCAGGUGGUUUGAACUUCUAUUAAAUGAGCUAUGACAAUAUUUGACAAAUUUGCCAUCUUAAAUUUCAUAAAAAUAAUUGGGGUGGAAAAGAUAAACAGGCAGGCUUUCGUUAUAUGCAAGAUAACAGAUAAGUUUCAAGAAAUAUAUGCCACUUCUUUGUUACAUUUACACAACAAAACAGUUUGUUUCCACUUGUGGUAGUAAUCUGCCUUCCAAGAAGCAACAGAAUUCUACACCAAUCAUUUCAUCCUUUUUUUUCUAUAGCAUCCCUCAUUUACGGCUAAACAUUUGAAGAUGCAACUUCAUUGCUUUAACGAAAUUCAUGCACAAGUAGACAUUAUGAAGGAAAGUCUCAUAUCUAAACUUGCAAAUACAAAAAUAACGAAGGGUAGACAUUACCUCCUCACGUGAAAACAUGUUCCUGUACUUCACUUCCUCCAUCACUUUUUUGGUGUAAUUUAAAACCUUCUUAAAACCACUAAGCUGCAAUUUACAAAGACAAAUAUACAUAUACAUAUAUAUAUAUAUAUUAUGAGACACAAGAAAGGAGUUUCAGUAUAAAAUAAAGCUCUACAAAAAAAUGCAUUCAACUAAAAACAUCUUAACACAUACAAAAAACCCACAGAGUGUUCAAAAGGCUUACAUUUUGUAGAUCAGAAAAUGAUUUCCACUGACAGUGCAAAUGAGACUGGCCUUUCCAUUUUAUUAAGAACUCCAUCUCAUUCCAGUUGGGUUCAAAGUCAAACAAGUGGCUUAACAGAAUGGGCUCUGUUGAUUUAUUAUUCUUUAGAGCCUCGUCAGCCAUGCCUUUUGGCUGAUGCCAAAGCACCUUUUCGAUUGAAUCGCAAUCUUCCUCUUCAAUUUCCUCCUUCAGAAAAUAAUAACAAUAAAUGAUGAGAGGUCCUUCCACUGAUAAAAACCAAAUAGGAAAGGAAACAGGAAAAAAGGGUGAAAUUCUGUGUGUGCACAUGCAUGUCCCAAGGUGAGGGGGUGGCCUUCUCUUUGUAAGCACAUUCACACAAGGUAUAUGGCCUGGGCUAGCACAUAAAUAACAGAACUACUGUCAUUCAUUAGAUUGGUAAAAUUAAAAAAAUUUAUUAGCACUCAUCCACUAGAGUGUAAUUGUCAUUUGUAUUUCUAAUUCAUUUUUUAUCAUACUUUCUGUAGUCCCUCUGUAUAUAAGUGGUCCCCCAUUAUUUGUUAACAACUCUUUAAUAUAUCUAUAUUUGCCUAUCAAAACACAUGCAUACACGAAAGCACACACACAUAUAUUAGCAUGCAAGAUCACUCCACAAGCAGAUGACAGCACCAAGACAAGAAACCAGUUCCUAAUUAUUCAUAAUUAAAAUUCACCACAUUUUAGACUUCAUCAUAUUCCACCCUAGCCACAAUCAUACUUCACUUUCCAAUGUCUUCAACAUGUUGCAUGUUUUAUGUUUCUUCUCUGUAAAAGGACAAUAUGUCUCUAAAACAUCAUCAAGGGCAAAGAGAGGAAAAUAUCAAAGAGCAGCAAAGCAGAAUUCAACUUGGGUAAAAGCCUUCCAUAUAGUCUUUCAAAAUAUCACUGCCAAUUCCACUUAAUGUUAUUCUACUUAGUUGGCUUUUGGUUUGUAAUUCAAAAGGGGUGGAUAACAUUUGAGAGAGUUUGAUUUUGGUUUUUGAGAUAUUCUGUACAUGCUUUUAUCAGUAGUUCUCCUUGUACAGUAGAGGAGUAUAGUCUUUGAUCAGGUUUUGUACUUUGUGGGAAGGAUCUCUCAUCCUUCUCUUCAACUUUACUAUUAUCAAUAUAUAUUGUUUAUGAUAAAAAAAAAAAAAAAAAAAAAAUCACCACUCUAUCAUCAAGAUAUCUGCUUACAGACCAGCCAAUAACUGAGUCCAUAAACACGUGAUAGCAUGUGAUAAAAAUCUCAAGUACAACCCAAGUAUAUCUCAUGAAACUUGUGAGACUGCAAAUGUUCAAUAAAACAAAAUAGAUGGUACACCCAAAAAUUUCAUUCCAAGAGAUCUCCCUUAACCCCAUCAACAAUUCCAUAAUACUUCUUCAAUGCAUCCCCUUAGCUUGCUAGUUUGAAGUGGAAAAAAUGGUAUUCACAAGUGAUUAAGUAUGCCCCUCGUCCCAAGUUGGCCAAAUUAUCAUGAAAAAGACGAUUAAAAAGAAAAAUCCAUCACAAGCUAUGCAAUGAGGCUAGGAAUUAGCCACAACCCCAGGUAGUAACAAGUAUGCUAGGCCUAUGAUUUCUUGGGGGAAUUGCCCAAAAAGGACAUCUGAGUUAGAUUCUUUGCCAAAUAGCUCUCACAUUGGGAUAUUUCCCAUCCCAGGAUUUCUUUUCAUCCAAAUAAAUCCACAAAAUCGCACUUCAUAGCUGAUACACAGUAUUUCAAACAUAAAAGAUACAUAACCCAAAACGAUGUAAAACCAGGCAAUUAAUAAAACACUAAUCAACCAGUGAACUACUCCACUUUGCACAAGAUACACUAUUGAAUAAUGGGACUUUUAGGGCUUCCAAUCAGAAUAUUAUCACCAGUAAUCAAAUUUUUUUUUUUUUUUUGGUGCUGAUUUAACGAAGCAAAGGCUUGCUUUAAAACUUUAAAUCAACAUAGAGGAGAGAACAUGAUUUUUUUUUUCCCCUUUUUUUGAUAGGCUACAUAGGGGAGAGAACAUGAUUGCCAUUUUGGUUUUUAACAAAAUGGGAAAAUACAUCUAUCUAUCUAUCUAUCUGGGGAGAGAACAUGAUUGUCAUUUUGGUUUUUAACAAAAUGGGAAAAUCUGUCUAUCUAUCUAUCAAAUUUGGACAGGAAGAAUAUCAAAUUUGGACAAGAAGAACCAUCCUUCAGUCCAUGUUAGCUUUUUUGCACUUUGAAACCUCUAACUUGCCCAAGUUCAGUACGUCCAAAUGGUAUAUUUGAAACUGUGCAUCCCUCCUUCCAAGCACUAAUAGCCUUAAAUUCUCUUUGUAUCAGCACUUCACUACUAUUAUUUGCUAUGUCCACUGUCAUCCUACGUUAUUUUGCAAUCAGAGCUAUAGUUCAGCAUGUCAACAAUAGAUAAGAAUCUAUUGGGGAAACCUAUGUGGAGAAGAAAGUUUAGCUGUUGAUUGUAAAUGGGAGUGAGAGUUACAAAGUGUGUUGGAUAGAGAGGUUGAUGAAGAACAGUCCAUGGAUACUUGUAAGCACAAUAGACCUCCUAGGGAAAUUAUUAACCCCCAAUUUUUCAGCACUAAUCAUAGUAAUGAAAUGUUUGUUUCUCUUCCAAAAAAUUGAUAAAUAAAUAAAUAACUUUGCACUCAUAGCCCUAAAUUCUCUUCUUAUCAGCACCUAGCCAUCAUCCUUAUUCUGCUAGGAUUUGUCAAUUAGGGGUGUCUGUAUAAGCUUGUAAUCUUUUCUUUAAAGGAUAUUAAUAAUAGUAUAGCAGAAUUUUCAGCAGCUUUGGAGAGAUUAAGAAUUAAGUGAUACAACCCUAAAACUAGGUGUGAUACUGCAAGGUGUGAUGCUAGUAUUAUUCUAGUAGCUAUUACAAAAGUAGACUCAAUGUCUCUUAUUGAUUUUGUAGAUUGGGCAGGUUCUUGGUGAGGGAGAGAGCGGCUGUUUUUGAUUGCCCUCUUCGGUUGUGCCUUUUGGUAACCUUUGGAUAUGUCCUAUAUACCUUAGCAUAUAGCAUCUUUGUUUGUUAUUUAUACAAAUUACCUUUUUACUUAUCAAAAAACAUUCUAGUAGUUUCUCCAUUUUGUUCUCAAUUCUCUCUAAUUCUUUUUAAAAAAUAAUAAUAAUAAAAAAUCUGCGAUCCAUCUUUAAACUUUCAUUGUCAAUCACCAUUUAAACCUUCAAUUAGCUACUUCCAUAGCCAACACCCACUGCAGCCAAGAUCUAUUUAAAGCCCUAAACCAUAUCCAAACAAGCCUCCUUUACUAAAUCUUUUCUUUUCAGAAAACUGGAAAAAUGCAUUAAGGACAAGAAAUGCAAUGCCAAGACAGUGCAAGGCAUUAAGCAUUUGCCAUAAUAGUAACUAUGAAGCUAAGGAAGUCAUUAAACCUUGAUUGGUGGAUGUUACCAUGGAAAGUAAACGACCUUACGAUGGCAUGUGCAAGGCUUGGACAAAACACAAAGAGAAGUACGGAAAUGGCAACUUUGUGCCUAUAUUGGUAAAUUUGGAAAGAGAGGAAUGCAAGAGUCUUCAAGGAAGAGGAGCUUCCUGAUUAGAAGUUGAAAGGGUUUCUCACGGAUCCCUUUCGAAAUGGUCUAAAGUUCCUUUGGGGCUGGUGAACUGCUCUCUUUUGGACUAUAUUGAUGGAUUGAAUUUGAGCUAGAACGUAGCUUUUGUAGUUUUCCAUGUUCUUUUCUUUUUGUGGUGAUUUUUGUACACUCCUUCCAAUGUACAGGUGUUGUACCACCUUUCCUUAGGCAAUUGUUUAUAAAAUACUAUUUGCCUGUAAAGAAUAAAAAAGAAAUGAUUAAACUUUAAUUAAAUCCCAGUCUACUCCAAUUUUUUAGCACCCAUAGCCCUAAAUUCUCUUUACAUCAGCUUUUGAUUGCUAUCAUUGCCACUUCCUUUGUAGUCUUACAUCAACAUUCUAAACUAUGUAAACUUCAAAACAGAAGAUAUUGACACAAGCUUCAUUAGAGGCAUAAACUAAAAAGGGAAAAUAAUAAGUACAUUGCUAUAAUGUAAUAGGCAAGCAGAAUGCACCUUUUGGCUCUUUUUCUUCUUGCCUUCAUCAAUUUCUUCACUUUCCUCACUUUCAACAUAUGAUACCUUCCUCACUGAUCUACUUGAGGUGCGGAGCUCACUGUUCCGUCCAAUGAUAUUUGCUGUAGUACUGGACUGACCACCUUUACUUUUUCGGAGAUGUGCACCUCUCCUUGUCAUGCUUUUGAAAUCCUCAUCACUAUCAUUUUCAGAAUCCUUUUCAUAAGAAUCUUCAUCUUCCAAUAACGUUCUGCCUCUUUUUCUUCGACCAGGUGCAGGGAAUGAUUUAUGCUCUUUCGUAGGUUUUAAACCACGUCCACUGUUACCUCGUAGUCUACCCUUGGGUUUCUUCAUAUAAUAUGCAUCAUCCUCAUCUGAGACAUCUAGAUCAUCAUUGCUAUUAUCAUCUUCAUCAGAAUCUUCACCAUUCCAGUCCUUAUCCUGGUACUGUUGCCCCAAGAAGAGAAAAAAAAAUGUUAGUUCACUGAAAGUUCACUUUCUUUUUUCCUUUUUUUUAAUAAUGAAAUAAAUUCCCUGAAAUAAGUUAAAAGGACAAGAAAUCCUUCCAAGACAACAAGGAUCUAAAAAAAAAAAAAGAGUAUAAUAAGCUUCCAAAACUAUGCAUUGCACUAGGCUUUUAAAGCAAGCACAUGGUAGGGACAAUGAAGUACAUCAUAUACAUACAAAAAACCAAGUAAAGAAGAUGCCUUGAGGCCUAGCUCAAGUGGUAAACAGUUGGGGUGGGUUUAUUAAAGGUUUCAGGCUCAAAUCCCAAUGGGGACAAAAAAAGAAAAAAAAAAUACCUAUAAGAGGGGAAAAAAAAAAAAAAAAAAAGGUAAAGAAGAUAAACACAUAUUUAUCUUCACAAAUGUGUACGUAAAUUGUAGCAGCAAACAUCAGAAAACUAGAAAGGCAUAGAGAAUACUAGUGUCCAACCAACUUAUGGACAGACAAUAGAGUGUAGCUAUAGGCUUAAAAGCCCAUAUAGACCUAGCAAAAUAUAAUUCCCUCAGAGUGGAACUGAUCAUAAACAAAAUCCAUCUCAAUUUUAUAGAUCCAUGUCUCUUAUGAAGAGAAAUGACAUUGUUUUUUCAUAAGGAGCAAUGCUUUAAAAGGAUAAAGGUGGUCUUGAGACGUUUUGCCCAAAUGAGGCGAGGCGUAAGCCUCAAGGCAAAAUGAGGCAUAAGCCUCAACUUAAACGAAUAAAUAAUAAAUAAUUAUCAAUAAAUAAAUAAAUAAAUAAUCUCAUAAAAUCACAAUAAAAUUGGGCAUAAACUUCAUAAUGAUUAAAUUAAUUAUUUUUCAUUGUUAAUAAUUCUAAUUUAGUUCCUUUUUCUCUCAUAAAAUUUAGCUCUCUCUCAUGGUUUUACCAAAUAAUUUUUAACAUUAUUAUUACAAUCACCAAGAUCCUCCAAGGAAUAUAAUAAUAUCAAAUUGCUAUAAUAUCCUCCCCAUUUGCGCUAAUAUCCAACCAUCCCUCUUCUUUGUCCACCAAUUGUAGUGGUAUCUUUUUUUAUCCAUCAAUAAUUAAAUUAUAUAUGAGAUCAAACACUAAGAGUGUCAACAAUUCCCUUAUUCUUCUCAACCUCGUUUUCCCUUCCAUUUACAUUUUAAAAGUUAACUGAAAGUUAAUUAAGCCUUCAUUUUGUAAAGGGUUUAACCAAGUAGGGACCCAAUACAAAAUGCAUGAAAUCUAUAUUAGAAAUCCACAAAAGCAUAGAAAAUUGAACCCAUUAAAACUCAUUGAAUAUUAAGAUUUAAGCCUCUUAUAAAAUAUAUACCAAAAGUCCAUAAAGGCCAAAAACCCUUUGAAUAUUCAAGUCUAAGGCCUCAACAGCCAUGAGGCUAUAGCCUCAAAGCUAUAAGCCUUGAUAAGUGAGGCUUAAGCCUCAAUUACCUUAACUGAGGCGAUAGCCUCAAGGCUAAUUUGUAGAGCCUCACCUUGAGGCGAUCCUCAAGGCGUAAGCCUCAAUAGCCUUUUAAAACAUGGAUAAGGAACAAUGGAAUUGCAUAACAGGGUUUUCUUUAUCUUUUCUUCCCACCAAUGAGAUAAAUAGAGUUCUAAUAUGAUAGACUUAUUUGGAUAGACCCAAAAAGAGUCAAACACCUAAAAACAUACUAAAACAUAAGUUUUAAGCCUGAAUUUUUCUACAUGACAUUCAAAGAAAUAAAAAUAAUACAAAAUAUGAUUUUUUUUUUUUUUGAUAGGUAUAAAAAAAAUAUAAAAAAAUUACAUUUUGUAAAAAUAAUAAAAAAUAUGAUAUAUCCAUUACUAACAGCUGAGUCCUCUCCAAAUCACAGGAGAUAGUUGCCCAUCAUCAUACAGCUCACGUCAUGCUUACACAUUCAAACAAUCUUUUAGAGAAGCAUCAAGUGAUCCAGCUCAACAAACCAAGUGCCAACAAACAUUUUAAAAGCUAAAGGUGGUUUUGAGGUGUUUUGCCCAAAUAAGGAGAGAGAUAAGCAUCAACGCAAAAUGAAGCAUAAGCCUCAACAUGUCCAUUGAAACUACAUUAACACAAAUGACAGUAUCUAAGCUCAGACUAGAAACAUAAGCUUUUUCAAAAUGUACUUAUGAAAACCAAGCUUUUGUCAUGGACAGUCUCUUAAAUUGAUGUUCCCAAACAACGGUGAUAAUGAAAAAGAAGCCCAGGUUAACAAAAGUUAACUUCUAGAUUGAAUAUCGAUUGCUUUAAAGGUAGAAUUAACUAGUAAGAGGAAAACUUAACUUAAAUAAUAUCAGUUAAGACCCAUACCCAACCGUGUAGAUAUUGUCCGCUUUGGGCCCAAGGGAACCCUCACGGCUUUAAAACGCGUCUACUUGGUUAAAAGGAGUUUCUACAUAUAUAGCACUAGGAACAUUCUCCCCUAUCCGAUGUGGGACAUCACAAACACCCCCCAUACAGACACAACGUCCUCGUUAUGUCCCAUGGGAUUGCGGGGCUAAACAAACAAACACCCCUUACGGGGCCAAACAAACCCCCACACCGGGGUUGGGGAUCGGCUCUGAUGCCUUCUCUUACACCAAGAGUUUAGGAAUUUUCUAGGCCCAUGAGUUUGUAGUAGGAAUCUUGUGGGGGUUGUUUGGAGUUAGAGAUCUUAUGGCUUUACUUUUGUGUUGUUCUUCUGUUUUUAUUUGUUUGGUCAUCCUAAAUCAUCCCUUCAACCUCUUUUCUUGCUAAAAAAGGGGGGGAAAUCUAUUUUCCAUUAAAAAAAAAAAUUCUUCUGAACUUCAAUUAUCCAUGAGAAGGAAUUAGCAAACAUAACUUCACAAAAUUUUAAACAUCCAAGAUAAGGUUCCAGUUGAUAGUUCACAGAUGUUUGGGAUCAAAAACUUCCCUCAUUGGUAGGCAUUUUAUAAAAAUAAAAAAAAAAGUUUACUUGCCUGUCAUAAACAAACUGGGAAAGUGCAAUCCAACAAAACUAGAUAGAGCCUAAAACUGCCUCUGCCUUAGACAUGUAAUUCCAAAGCCUUACCUUGGGUUCAUUGCCCUCAUCCUCUUCCACAUUGUUGUCCACCACCCUUUAAUCUAAACAAACCCAUCAAAAUCCAAAUUCAUGCUGAAAACUUUUCUCAAGAACACCUUCUCCACUAAAACUGUGCUAGGACAGCCUUAUAUAUAUUUAUAGGUAAAGAAAAGUCGUCUAAAAUGUAAAGAGGAGACACCAAAAACAAUUUUUCACAAAUAUAUGGUCAUCUUGGACAAAGGGCAGGGGGAUAACUGACCACAAAACUCAAAUGUUGUGUAAUGUAUGCAACAUAUUUUUUUUAUAUAUGGGUAUCAAAUAUAUUAAAAGUGUCUAACAAAGGGGGGCGCAAAACGUAUACACAGUGUCUACAAAGGUGCCAAAAGGCCAACCAAAGCUAAGGGACAAACAAAUGUAUGCAUCAUAGAUUAACAAAAAUUGAAGCAACUUCUUUACAUAAAUGAAAACUAAGGUCCCACUUGCCUCUAGCAAAGAAAGCUCAUCUCCCUUUACCAAGGAAAAAAGGAAGGACAAAUAAAUGAAGCAGAAAGCAGAUUUGGAGAAUGAGGAGCAGUAUAUCCAAAUUUUGAAGAGCAUUUUCCUCAAUAAUCUCCCUCUGUGGGUACAGUUGUAUCUAGGUGAAGGCACAAUGUCUCUAAUGGAAUUUGUUGACUGGUUGAGUUUUUGGUAAGGGAGGGAGUUGUUUUUUGGUAAUCCCGCCUUGGUUGUUCCUUCGCUUUUCUAUUGUUUUCUUUGGCACCUUUCAUAUACUUCUUGUGUUUGGCCUUGGUACCUUGUAUACAUCGUGUAUACUUUUGUGUGCCCUUCUUUAGGCGCUUUUAAUAAAAUUGCUUUUACCUAUAAAAAUAAAAAUAAACCUUCCUAUGUGCCUUGAUGUGCUCUUUCUUUGGUGCAUGUUUACAAUAUCUCAUCAUUACUUAUCAAAAAAAAAACAUAUAUUUGUAAACUGUUCCUCCAAAAUAUCUCUGAAAACAAGACAAAGUCUGGAAAAAUCAAAAAACAAUGAGGGAUUUGACUGCAACUAGUGUAGGAGUUCGGGUUUACUAUGGUAAAAUGGGGAAUUAUGAUAGCCAGCCAUGUCUGGGUUUGACUCAUGCUUGGAUUGGAAUAUUAUUUUAAGAACUGGCAUGGUUAAUUGUAGACUACCAACGGUUUGUGGGUUAGUCAUGUUUAGGGUCCAAAAGUUCAUUUUUUGCAAUUCCUCUGGCUGGAAGGGAGAAGAACUUUGAGAGAACACCCUCUUCAGUUAUUAUAUCACUCUUAUAUGAAAAAUGAGUAUGGAGACAUGAGAUGAAGCAUAUUCUGUAGAUGUUAUCAUAAAGGGAAAUAACUUACCAAGUGCUCUACUAUUCAGGAUCCUAUGCAUUUAUCACUUUAUAUUUAUUGAUCUUACUUUAUAUUUGCUAACUGUUUACUGAUCAGGAUCCUAUGCAUUUAUCACUUUAUAUUUAUUGAUCAUACUUCAUAUUUGUUAGCUGUUUACUGAUCAAAAAAUAUAUUUGUUAACUUUUUCGUAAUUAGUUAUUUCAAAUUUUCUAGUUUCAAUUCCUAGCACAAUUAUGACCCACUGCUGCAUUUAUUAAGUUGGAAAAGGAAACUAUUACCGCCAACUUUACCACCAUACUAAUAGAAGCACAUAAUAUUAUGUUAACAAAUGGCAGAUCUAGAGUUAAGCCUCUGUUCAGAAAAAGGAUUUAGCAUUAUGCUAGGAUAGAUUUUUUCAAACAGAUUAAUUUCUCUUCCAAAGUUUUCCUUGACUAUUUUUUGUGCUUUGAAAGUUAUCGUCCAAGUGAUUUAAUUUCAAUUUUCCAAUAUGAGUAGUUUCAAAAAACAAAUAUAACUUUUAUAACAGUAGUCAAAAAAAUGCUCCCUUCAUCCUAAAAAUUAAACUAAAAUCGAGAUCCAUGUCCCUACCCAGAAUUUUAUUAUUGGGGUUUGUUUUUAUUUGAGAGACAAAAAUAGUGAUAUACACACACAUAUAUAUACAUAUAUAUAUAAACAGGAUUGAGUUUCUAAAUCGCAUGUGAUAUAAAUUUCUAAACAACAUUCAUAUGCAUUUUAUUUAAAAUUCGCAUAUUUGGGACUGAACAUCGAGAUGCAGAUUUGUCCUAAAGUCAAAACCCCAUUACCAAAUAAAUUUCUAAAUUGUAGGUGCCAUGGAUUGCUAAAUAACAACAUAUAAUUGUUAUUUAAAAUCCAUAUCUUUGGGAACUUAACAUCCAUUUACAGAUUUGUCCUAAGAUCAAAAUCACAUUUUCAGAAGUCUUACCAAAUCAACAUAUUGGCUUGGGGCCUCACACCCAAAUCCAGAACCCUUAAAGUCCAGUUCCAAGUGUUACCUAAAUCUAGUACUAUGUGCAACAAUUAAAAAGAACGAUAUCCAACUAAUACUUCAAAUAUAAUUAAUUAAAAUAAUACAGAAAAUCUGAACCUUGUUGGCAGUUCUGCUGCUAGUGACACCAUAAUCAGGUUCAAAAUCUGCAUCAUCAGGAUCAUCUUCUGCAGCCAACAAGAGAAACAAACACCACAUGUCAUGAAGAAAAUUAAUGCAUUGCAAUAGAAUAAAAGUGUAUGUAUAGUUAAAAUAAAAAAAAAAUUUGAAAAAAAAAUGCACACACUAAAUAUUAACUAAAUGACUUAUAACAAAAACAAAAGGUCAAAUGCAAUUACCAUCUUCCUCUUCCUCAUCCUCAUCUUCAUAAUCAGCAUCACCAUCAUUAUCACCAUCCUCGUCAUCAUCAUAUUCAUUAUCAUUUGAAGCUUUUGAAUUCCGAGCCAUGUUUACAGCAACAGGUCUUGACUGUGGUUGUGAGUUUAAGACACUGGAAUGAUUUAAACCUCUGUAAUGUAACGAGUCACUUUGGUCUUCCCCGUCCUGUUCGUAGUAAUCAUCAGAUGACAUCUCAUCUGCAGGAACAUCAUUUUGACCCUUCUGAACCUUGUCAACUUCCCUGCCAUCAGAUGAAUUGUCUUCCAAUGCUUCCUCAUUUUUACAAUCAAAACGACAUUUUGAAUCCUGCUCAGAUUCAGAACCAUUCCGAUGACCCAUGGGUUGGCAGUCUUUCCAAAAGGUUGAACCCCACUUCCCUGCCAUAGCUGUUCUCCUUCCAGAGGGCUGCAAAUUUGAUAUUCUCAAACCAAUAUCAUCAGCAGCUGCUGCCUCAUUUUGCAGCCCAGCAUCAUUUGUAUCACCAUCACUUUGAUAUUGCCCAUCCACCUUUGAUUCAAAAUCCUUUUCACUUGAAGUCGCAUCUACAUAUUCAUUUGCUACUGAACUGUGAACUCUAUCAAUGUUUUGCCCUUGGCCCUUCUCAUCCAGGACACUCUGUGCUACCGUUUCAUUCGAGUAGUUUCUAAAGAAAGCCAUCCUUUUACAUGGAACUUAUUUGAUAGUCACUUCAAAUCCUAUACUGCAAAAACUAAGUGCUUCAAAGAGAGUUAUUUCCCAGUCUCUGCAGAAAGCCUGCAUGACAAAUAAACGGCAAUUAGUCAGUUGAAGCCUGAAUGAACAUCAUGCAAAUCUAGAUAGGAAAAACACAUAAGCCAAUAUAGUCCAGUAAAGCAAGAAAAGCUGACUCCAAACUUUCUAUUUGGAUUAGAAAAAUGCUGGAGAAAGAAAAGAAACAAGAAUUUCUGAUCCUAGAUUUUAGUUUAUUAUCAAGGAGUCUAACAUGACUAACUGGCUCAGUUGAUAUUGGUUUUCAUCUUUAAGAUACCAAAACAACAUGAAAGCUCUUAAGGCUACUUGAAAUUGGACACCCACAAAGCAAUCCUAGAGAAAGAAAAUGCCCCCCUCAGUUAAGCUUACAUUGCCUGAAUACCAAAGCUACAUAACCAUGCCAGAAAUAAAAGUAAAUUAGAGGUGAGCUCUGGUCAUUGUUGGAACUGACAAAGGGUGCCAUACUAGAGUAAAACUCAGACAUUUAAGAUACAAAGAACAAAACCUUCAAAAUACCAAGUUCUCGCCCCAAAUAUAAUCAUAAACAAGGAACUGCAAUCAGAAUUCAGUAUCCAAAACAGUUCAAAUGAAGCCAGCACUGGAACAAACUCAACACUCAAUUUGAGGCCGAAACAUUCAAAGUCUCAAGCAAAUCUGAUCAUGAAAUCAAAAAAACUCACCAAUGCCCAAAAAGAAAUUAAAUGAACAAAUUAAAGAGACUCAUCAACGGAUCCAUAAAUUCAAAAGUGGAAUCAAAUAAAUUGAAUCGCUAAACCCAGAAAAAUUCCGAUUACCGAACCCUAGACCGCAUUCAAACCCUAAAUCCACAAUCAAAAACCCUAAAUCAGCACCAAACCACACUGAAGCAAAGCAAUCGAAGCCGAUGCUUCAUCGGAGACACUCACCUCCACAGAGGGGCGAAACUUCGACUGAUUACAGAUCAAUCAAUAUAUAUGGAUAAACAAAGAGACGAAAGAGAGCGCAGGUUAGCAAUCGUGCGGACGGACCUUGCCGGAAAUGACCGCCGGCACCGGAAAAUGACGAAACGCAGAGUUUCGGUCUCCUCCGGGAGAUAAUAUCGGGAGGGGGCGGCGGUGGCUAAUCUGCACGGGGUGGUGAGGAUAAGGAUCCGAUUCCGGUUCAAAGCUAUAGGGUUAAUUCGGAUUUAGCGACUCGGCGAUGUCCAGAGAGAGAGAAAGUCUAGAGAGAGAACCUUUUUUUUAGAGAGAGAAAGAGAGAUAAUAGAGAGGCUGCCAAGAGGCAAAAAUGAAAAAUAAAAAAAAUAAAAAAGGGUGAUUUCCAGUAUCGUAGUUUUUUAUUUUUUUUAUUUUUUUAUUUUUUUUUUAAUUGGAGAAACGUGUUUAUAGAGGAGCCUCCUCGCUCUUUCAAGUCUCCAAGCCAAACGAUACACUUUCUCUCUCUCUCUCUAGGUAUUUCACUGGCCGGCUUCAGUCUCGCCGGGGGUGCGUGAUUCGGCCAUGUGUCCUAAUUUGGGAGGGGCCGAUGAAUCUGGCGGCGGAGGGUUAUUCGAGUCUUUUGGGGCGUUCACGCGGUUCUGGGGUUGAAACGGCGGGUGAUAUAUUUGACUGAAAUUACCAAAUUACCCCAAAAGGGGUCAAUUUUGGGCCUUGAUGUGUGAGGUUAUUAACUUAUUAUUGAAACUCCAAAUGUAAAAAUGGACUAAAAGUAUGGGUUAGGGUCCCAAUUUCAAAAGCUACAAUGUUAAUACCCUAUCUAAGGGUAUUUCCUUUUGUACCAUUGGAUUUUGAUUUAUGUAUUUAGUGCUUUCCAAAUUAACUGAUGAAUUCUAUAUUUGUUGCCCUAAGGAAAGAAAAAAAUUAUUAUUUGAUUUCAUAAAAGUACAAAAGAAAAUAAAAUAUAAUUAAAAUUAAUUUCAUGUAUGAUUUUAUGUAUUUUAAAAUUAUUUAUUUAAAUAAUAAAUCAAAUGAAUUCUAAUAAAUAUAUAAAAACAAUCUAUUAAUUUUAAAUCUAUUUUUUAUUUAUUUAGGUUUUUUUUCAUUUUAAUUUUCUUUAUCUCACAUUUUUCUACAAAUUUUUUAGAAGUCAAAUAUAAUUGAAAAGAUUUUUAAAAUUUGAGAAAAAUUGAAAAAUUAAAAAUUAAAAAUUUAAUUUAAUUAAUAAAUUAUUGUUAUACAUUAGUUCAAAUUUAUUUUAUUUACUAAAUAAAUUAUGUUUAUAUAUUUUAAAUUUUUUAUCAAGUUUCACUUAAGUCGUUAAGAAAAUUAAUUAUUAACAAUGAUUUUCUUGUUAAGGUUUUUCUAAAAAAUUUGAAGCAUAUGGAAAAUCUUUUUUCUUAAACAAUGUUUAAUCUCAUGAAAGAACAACGAAGAUAAGGAAAAUAAUUUUCUCAUAAUGAUUUUUCUACAAAAAAAAUUGAAAAAAAAAAAGUGUUAAAUAUAAUUAAAAUUAUUUAAAAACUUUUAUAUUUUCAAAUGAUUUAAUCUUUAUAUAAAAAAAGUUGAAAUAAAUGAAAUGGAUUUAAAAUAUCAUAUAAAAAUAAUUUAUCCAUUUUAAAUCUAACUUUUAUUUUCCUUUUCGGUUUCUUUUAUUUUGUUUCCUCUUUAUUUUCUUUUCCCUAUACUUUCCAUCAAAUUUUUUGAUGGCCAAAGGCAACUUUAGUUUUUUUUUUUUUUUUUUUCCUUUUUUGAGCACUUUAACUUCCUUUCUAAAAAGCAAGAUAUAUUAUGGAUUAAAUUUUUUUUAUUAAAUUGCUAAUUAUCCAUCUCUAGAUCCAUAUCUUUGCUAUAGCACUUUUGCCUUAGAAGUGUAGCUGAUAAUGAAGUCUUUUUAUAGUUGACAACCUUCUUAGAUAUUCUUGGUAUAUUUGUAAUUGAAUGACCUUUGAAUCCAUUAGUAUUAUGCCUUCACAAAGCCUAUAAUUUCUCUUUCAAGUUAGGUAUGUUCCUAUUGCCAAAAGCCUAUUGCUAUAUGAGAAAGAAGGUUGUUAAAUAAAGAGUAUUGUGGGAGUUCAUUAACUUCAUUUGCAUCCUCAAUUUGCUUCUAUUCAAUAAAAGACGUGGUAGAUGGCAGCAAAGAAGAGGAAGAUCAUUAAUUAAGAAGUCUUCAAGUUGCAUUAUGUUAGGUUUAUAAAACAAGCACAUUAUCCAACUUGGUGUAUCAAUAUUAUGGUGGUUCAAAAAAAAAAAAGAAUGGGACAAGCCAUGUUUGUGUGGAUUAUAGAAACUUAAACAAGGCUUGCCCUAGCGAUUGUUUCUCAAUCCCAAGGAUAAAUCAAUCAACAAAUAUUUUCGACAAUUCAAUAGAAAUGUGAUCCGUCAUGGACUUCACAAAGGAAAAGAGAGAAAGAACAUUAGUUAAAAUGACAACUCACCAAUAGACAUUGAUGAGGGAGUAUGAUAAGAAAGUUAAACGGAAGUUUCUAAACAUUAAGGGCUUUGUCUUUGGGAUCAGUCUUUGAGAAUAUUAAGAAUCCUCACAAUAGAAAACAAGGACUAUUUAGGAAUGCACUUAUUGAAUAUGUGAUAAAGUUGAUCAAGCUAUAUAUCGACUGUAAACACUCUUUGACAAGCAAUUGGUGAAACCAUGGAACAUAAUGAACCUUAAGAAUUAUUACUUUUGAUGUUUCUUUUGUUUGAAAGGUUACUAUAUAAACUAUUUUCUUUUACCAAGGUAUAUAUCUACUACAAACACUCUUUGGCAAGUAAUUGGUGAAACCAUGGAACACAAUAAACUUUAAGAAAUAUUACUUUUGAUGUUUCUUUUGUUUGGAAGGUUGCUAUAUAAACUAUUUUCUUUACUAUUCUAAAAGCAUUAUUCAAUUAUGGACAAUUCUUGUUAUACUAAAAGCAAAUUCAUAAGGGUUAAUCUACCAUAGAUUGGAUCAUAAGGAAAUAAAUGCAUAGACUUGGAACAUUGAAAAUUUAAAGAUGCACCUAAAGGAAAAGGGUCAUGAUUUCUAGGUUUAAAAUUCUAGUUGGCUUUAUAGUACUAAAAAGUUGCCAAAUAAAAGUAAAUGUGUCAUGAUGUGGAGAGUAUCUUACUUGCUCUAACUAUAUGAGAAAUUUCACGAACGAUUUAAAGAACACUUUUGCAAAGAAAGUAGAAUGUUAAAAAGUAUAGGAUAUUCCAUAAGCUAUUAGAUUUGUAUGUAUGUGCAUGAUGAGUAACUAAAACAUGAUAGAUAAAAUAAGUGAAACACUUUAAACCUUUCAAAAUGUGUGUAAUAACUAUUAUAUGUUUACUUCCUUAUCUUUUUUAAAACAAGAAACAUUGUAGUAUCUGGAUAGAUUCAAUUAAUCUCCAUGAUUUCUAGUAUCCAUUUUUAGCAUUGCUAUGUGGCUCCUUUGAUAAUACUUUUGUAUUCCCAUUCCCUUUUUCACUUNNNNNNNNNNNNNNNNNNNNNNNNNNNNNNNNNNNNNNNNNNNNNNNNNNNNNNNNNNNNNNNNNNNNNNNNNNNNNNNNNNNNNNNNNNNNNNNNNNNNUAUUCCCAUUCCCUUUUUCACUUUCUCCACCUAAAUUUCCAGUCUUUGAAGAUAGUGAAAUAGCAUAUUUGAUAUGGUAGUUUUCAUGGUCAAUGUUGUAACCUAAGUCUUUAUCAAUGAAGGAAAAUGGAAUCCAAAGAUUGUUUGUGCUAACAAUGGUAGCAUGGAUUUCUUGAUGAAGACGAUAAAGAAAGCAAAUGGAUGUAGUGCAUUAUGAAAGUGGUUUUUCUUCUUUUGUGGUGUCUGUCAGUAUUCUGAGACAUUAAACAUUAAUAGACAUGAUUUGAAGUGUUAUAACAGUUCAAGGGGCUUAUCAGUUUUGAAAUUCAAAAACAUUUAGGUAAUGCUUUUUUACAAGAACUUUGGCAUUUAAUAGUAAUGGCAUUGCCAUUACCAAGUGACAUCAUACCUGGUAGAAGUCUAAAAAAUGUCAAUACUUAUUGAUUCCCUUAUCAUGUCUCAAAAAAUAUGACUUGCUCUUAUGAAAGCAAUGUGGGAGACUGUUAUUCUAUUAACAAUGCCAAAUAUCUAUCAUUAGAAAUGGUUGAAUUUACAGUUUGAUAAAUGUAUAGUGUUAGCAUAAAGCCUUUAAAAGUGAGACAUGAUGUAAUAAAUUUAAACUUGAGUUUCCACUAUUCUAUUCAUUAAUUGCAUUAAAAUUUAUUUGAGUUUUCAAGUUUGCACUACUUAUAUUGUACAUGACAUAGAUGCAUUACGAGUUACAUGUAAAAUGUAAGUCAUAGGUUUCUUGCAAGUUGAUGAGUUGUUCACAAUUGAUUCAUGAACUUAGACAAUCCAUUAAGGUUGUAGUAUACUACCUACUAAUUAGAAGGAUCAUUUAUUUUGUUCAUUAAGAUGAGUUUCCAAUGGUGAGUGCAUUAGUAUGUAUAAAUACACUUUAAACAAAACUUAUAGUGAAUAUUAAGUUGGUGUUGAGGUCUUCAAUAGUUAUAACCUACAAGUGAGACCAUAAGGUAGUCACACAUUCCUUGUGAAUUGAAUCACUAUUGAUUAAAGUAUAUGACAAUGGAUAUUCUCAAGAUAAGUAUUAUAAUAUCUCACGAGUUUGAGAAAAUGUGUCUUUUGGUAAUCCUAAGAACUUGUGAUCAUAAAAUUUGUGAUGUUGUAAUAAUUCCUUUAGUGGAAUUUGACAUAUUUUCUUGGUAAGUUAGAAUAUAUCGGUUGAUCACAUAAUAAGAAGAUCUGAGGCACAAGAAUCAUACAGAUAAUCUUGAGAGGUUGAUAUCAUCUAUCUUGUUAGAUUACAAACAUUCAUUCAUAAGAAGUCUAUAUGCAAUGGAUAGUAAGUCAUAGAAUGGGGGAGUUGAUUAUUUAGUUUAAUCAACAUUUAUCUUGAUGUAAUGACAUGGGAUAUUGGAGUGCAAUUGAUUUUCUUUAGUAGAAUGUUAAGACAACUCUAUAAUUAUAUUUUGAGGGAGCCAAUAUUUUUCUAUUAGCUUAAAUGACCCCCCCCCCCCCCUCCCCCUCAAACUCAUAUUCUUUGUUAUAACAAAGGUUUUGAGGAUUUAUGAAAAAUUAAUCAUUUAUGUGCAUAAGAAUGUCUUAUUAAAAGCAUAAGGUUGGAUGAGAUUUUAUGAUUAAUUAAUUUUGAUUUAUAGAUUGGACUAAUUAAUUAAUUAAAAUAUAUUAAGGUUAAUUAAUUAAUUAAGAUCCAAUGAGAUAGAUUAAGUGACCCAAAUUCAAGUUGGGUCAAAGUUAGUUAAGCUCACUAGAAAGUCUAUAUAAACCUUGAGACUAUGUUUGGUUGGUGGGAUAUAAUAGAAUAGAAUAAGAUAUGUAUAUCCUAAGAUAUCAUAUCCAAUUGAAUAGGAAAUAUAUAUCCUAGGAUAUGAUAUUCUAAAUUAGCAUAUUUGGUAUGUUAUAUUAUGUUUACAUUUAAUUUGUGAAAAAAAUAAAAUGAAAUAUAUAUAUAUAUAUAUAUAUAUAUAUAUAUAUAUUAUUUUUAAUAUUUAAAAUAAAAAUUAUAUCACAUUCCAAUAUUUUUAUUUUUUAUUUUUUAAAUCUCUUAUAUUUAACAAUAUUCAUGAUAAAAAUAUUCAAACUUUAUAAAUAAAUUUUUUUAUAUUAUGUUAUUCAAUAUAUAAAAAUAAUUUAUAUGUUAUAUAUUAAUAUUAGUUUAUAAAUUCUUUUUAUUUUUUCUUUUUGAAACAUAAAUUUAAUUUAUAAUAAAAAAAUUAUUUUGUAAAAUGAGUAUAAAAAAAUUUGAUAAAAAAAAAAAUUAUGAUACAUAAGAUAUGCGUAUUUCAUAUUUUAGCAUGUGAUGAACAUAUCCCAUAUAAAAGGGACAAAAAACAAAAAGUGGAUAAUAUAUCCUACCAUUUAUACUAUCUCAUAUUUGAUUGAGUAUAUGAUAGGAUAAGUGAUGGAAGAACUUAUUAUAUUUCAUCAUCAAUCAAACAUGGGAUAUGAUAUAAUAUCCCUUUCUUAACCUAUUCCAUAUUAUAUCCGGCCAACCAAACACACUCUAAGAGUUUUAGGGUUGGGCUCUAACUUUUCAAACUAUUAGUCUUCCAAAUACCUAGUCUCCUCUUCUGUCUCCUCUCAAGAUGUGUAGCCACUUUAUAUUUAUGCAAAUGGACAAAGAAGGAACUAUCAAAUGGAAGAUCAUCCAAGUUCAAGAUUUUUUCUAAGAAAGAAUUUAGAUUUGAGAACAAUCAAAUCAUAUGUGUGAUUUCUAACAAACCAUAUGGGGCCAAAGUUUUUACUUUCAUCACUUCCAUUAUACUUAGGAUCUUAGAUGCAUGCAUUCUUAAACCCAAGCAGAUAUUAGAUCCCUGAUGACAUAAAGAUGCUAGAUAGAUGAAUGAUGUACAUAGUACUUGGAUAGGUACCCUUCUCUUAGUACUUUGAUAGGCUUAGUUAAUCUAUAGCAAACUAAUACAUGUGUUAGUCUAAGUGAAAGAUGCUUUCAUUGGUCAACCAUCUACAUUUUUGCCUUAAUUAAAAGAAAUGGGAGAAAAUGGUGAAUGUGGACAAGUGAGGUGGUUAAAGUAUGACUAUAAAUAGAAUAAAGAAUGUGAGGAAAAUGACAUUCUGCAUAUCUUUUAUUUGACUAUUUCUUACUUUUGAGUUUUUUAAAACAAUUUUCUCUUUUCUUAAUCCCAAAAGGAUAAAAAUAGAAAAAAUCUUAAAACCCAAAAAUAUAAACUACCAUAAAAAAAAAUACAAGAAAUGUUGUAAAAAUAUAAAAAUUUAUCUUGUAUUCUUAAAAAUUAUUUCCAAAAUUUUAAAAAUUAUUUCCAAAAUUUUAAAAAUUAUUUUAAGUUUACAAGCUAUCUAGUAUUUAUCUGUUUUUUGUGUAAGUAUUUCUAUAUUUUAUAUAAGAUUUUCUAUUUUUAAAAACAAAAAAUAGAAAAUAUAUUCAUGCACUAUUAUUAUUAUUAUUAUUAUUAUUAUUAUUAUUAUUAUUAUUUUGAAAAUUGGAAUAAGGUGUAAUAUGAUGAAAAUAUUUAAAAAUAAAAUAAAAUUAACUUUUUAUUUUUCAAUUUAAAAUUUUUAAAAGGUAUUUUUAUUUUUCUUCAUAAGGAUAUUAAUAUAAUGAAUAAAGUACUCUCAUUUUGAUAUUUUUAUAAAUUUAAAAGAAAUAAUGACAUAAUAUAUAAUAUAUAACCCUUUAAUCUCUAAAACUAUUUAAAAAAAAAUAGUUUACUAUUUAAACUAUUAAAAUAAUAAAAUAUUUUUUUUUUGUUUAAUUGUAAUUAAAAACCAAAAGAAAAUUAUUUUAAAAUUUAUAUUAUUUCAAGCUCUUUAUUUUUUACAUAAAAGAAAAAAAAAGAAGAAAAAACUAAUGACAUUGUGAAAUAUUCAAAAUUUUAUUUUUUUCUUCAAAAUUUUUCUAUUUUCUUUUUGUUAAAGGUCAUUUUAACAUAAUAAUACUUAAAACUAUUUUUUAUUAACUAUGUAUAUCCAUAGUCAUAAGCCAACAUUAUUGUUUGUAACAAGAUUAAAAAUAAAAAUAAAUACUAAGUCAUGUUAGUUUCCAGACCCAUAUAUCUUUGUUUAGUAUUUUUUCCAGUUUUUCUUAAGUAAAUUUUUCUUUCCAAUUUGAACUCAUUAUUAUUUUAAUUUCAUUAUAAAUUUUCAAUUUAUUUUUAGUUGAUCAUAUCUAUUUCUUUUCCUCUCAUUUAAAUCUUAAUUAUCAAAAAUAUUUCAUCAUAGUGGACAACACCACAACUAUUGUAACUUUUGUUGAAAAUAAUUUUUGAUUACGUAAUUUUGCUAAACUAGGUUAUAUAUUUAGUUUUGAUAUUGAAAAGUCGACAAUCAACCUUCCAUGAUAAGUGAGAGAGAUUGAUUAGUUAUUUCAGUAAAAUGGUUACUCUAAUACUAAUGGUUAGAACUAUAAGCUAAUCAAUCAAAGAUAAAUGCUCAAAGGGAGGAUUGAUUGCAUUAAAAUAUUAAAACCUAAAUAUGUGACAACUUUGGUCAAGAAAAAAAACAAAAAAGAGUUAUCAAGACUUUAUAAUAUUUCAAGACUUUAUAACAUUUUAGGUUGUCGUUCUCUAAGAUCAACUUUAAUAUGUUUAAUUAUUCUUAGGUUAGAAGGAUUAAUUAUUUACUAAAAAUGAUAAAACUUAAUUUAAGUAAAUAAUAAUAAAAUAUGUAUAAAAAAUUUUGAGAGAAGGAAAUUUAAAUUGUUAGCAAAUGCAUUUUUCUAAAUUUUUUUUGGGGAAAAUAUUUAAAAUUUUUGAAAUACUUUAUGUUUUUUCUAUCUCAUUUUCUAUCCCCGGAGAAUAAUUUUCCUAAAUAUUUUUUCACUUUUCCUAUCAUUUUUCAAGAACCUAAUAGACUUGAACUAGUUUUUAUUAAAAAAAAAAAACAUAUUAGGAUGAAGCAAAUUCAAUAAUUUAUUAUUUUAUUAUUAUUAUCUACCAUUUAUGAGAUACUUUUUUGGGGUAAAGUUAAUUAUGUUUAAUCAUAUGUUUACAUAAAAUUAAAUUUUAUGAAUUAAGAUGAAAAAUAGUAACAAAAGAGUUGAAUUUAUGAGAAGCAUAUUGAAUCAUUUGAAUUAUUUAAAUAAAGUCCUUAUUAUAUGAAAUAAAAAUAGAAUUAUAAAUAAAAUUUUAUUUAAUUAAUUUUAUUUUUAUAAUUAAUAUUUUGAAUUUUAUGAAUAUAUAUAUAUAUAGUUUUUAACUCAAAUAUUUAAAAUUGUAUAAUUAAAUAAAGAUUUAACCACUUCACUUAAAUAAUACAUUUUUAUUUCUAUGCGACAUUGCAUACAAUGCUUUAUUUUUAAACAAUGCCAUACCGUAAGUUGAAGAUUUUAAAAAUGUCAUGCCAUAGAUAGAAGGUUAAACUCACAAAAAGAAAUUAUUUUCAUACUUCAAUAAGUACGCUAGUUAAAAAUAGGGAUAUCAAGAAAGAGAAAUACAAUAGGGUUCAUUUUAUUUUAUUUUUAAUUUUUAAAUUUUUAAGUAUUUUAGUUUUAAUUAUAUUUUAAAUUUCUUAUUUUGUUGUUGUUUGAUAUUAGUGAGGAUGUUUGUCUUUGAAUGGAAAAUAAAAAAUAAAAAAUAAAAAAAUCCUAAAUAAGUUCUCACGCUUAAAAAAAAUAUAACUAAAAGGGAGACCAAUUCUUUAUAAUUAAAUAUCUACUAUUUACUUGUUAAUUUGUGUUAUUUAUAUAAAAUAAAAGGUUCAUUUCAGAAAAUAAUUAUUCAAUGUAUAUAUUUUAAAAUAUUUUAUUUAUAAAAUUUUAGGUUAUUUUAUAUAUAUAUUUUCAAAUUAGUGAAUUAUAACCUACUUUUCCCUUUUUUUUUAGUCAAGGUAUUAUAUUUAAUCAUUUAAGUAUUAUUUUUAAUAAUAUAAAAAUUAUAUUUGAUUAUCUCAAUGAGUAUUUUUGAGCGACAAUUGUAUGUAAUUGGAAUUAUUUUUAAAAUUUUCUAUUUUAUGUUUUUUUUUCUUUCAAAUGUGUAUGUGGAAGCAAAUUUUUGGGAAUAUUAAAGGAAACAAUAGAAAAUAAAAAUCAAUUUUUAAUUCAUAUUUUUAUUUUUAUUUUUAAAAAUAAAUUCGAAAAAAAAGGUUAAAAAAAAAUCACUCUAUAUAUUCAUUUCUCUUGUAGAUAAAGAAGAUUUAAAAAGAUGAAAACUAGUUUUGUGAAUAUAAAAAAAAAAAAACCAUUUUUUAAUAGCCACCCAUUUUGAAAGAAAAAGUUAGAAAAUUUUCUAAGAAGUUAUUGAUAUUUCUUUAUUACGAUAUUAAGGCGUGUUUGGUACAUGGAAAUAAGGAGUCGGAAUUAGCAACUCAUUCCUUUUCUAUAUAAAUCCAAAUAUUAUAUAGAAAUAUAAUAUAAAUAUAAGAUUUAGAUAUUAAUGAAUGAGACCAAAUAUAAGUCUAAUAUAUUUUCCAACUGCUGUGUGUAGUCUAUGCCAUGCCAUCUUGAACCUAGACCAAACUUACUUUCAGGCCUUGAUAUUGGGCCUGAGUUCACAUCCAAUUAUAGGUUGAAAGGCCAGCUUAGGCCCAGCUUCCCAAGUAUAUGCCUCUCAAAUCAUUUCCUUGGCUAUUUGUGUCAUGGAAACUGAAUGUGUUAGUUUGGUUUCUUCUUUGUUCUGUCAUUUACUCUUAUCUAAAACUUUCAUUGGAACCUUAUAAAAUGUGAAUAUAUAAGAAAAAUAAUGAAAAUAGAGCUAAGAAGAACUACCAUGGUUUGUUGAGGCACGUGAGUGAUCACACAUGUUGUCCUAAAGCUGCUAUGAGCUUCCUACAUGCGGUGUCAACAAACGAUAGGCACUCCAAGAAACAACCCCAAUUGGCUCGCAACAACGUUUUUUUUCUAUGGGUACAUGAUCUAGUCGCCCAAACAAUAUGAAGAUUAAGGAUGAAAAUAAAACUAUAAAUUCUGAAUACCUCGUGAGGUGUGAAAGAAGAGAAUGAUCUUCGUAAUAUUUUUGGAUUAUUUUUCAAAAUAAAGAAAAACCAUUUCAUGGAGCAAGAAGAUGACCAUUGUUGGAGUCUCGUUAUCUCAAAAUGGUCAAUUCUAUAAAAGGCUAUAAAAUCCAACCCAACGUUCGGUUGAGUAAAAGUCAAUAAUUUCAUUUGACUUAUUCGUUGCUAGAAGAUAUAAUAUCAUAAAGCUAACUCUUCCAUUUUCACAAAAGGAAAUUUUGAGGUUUUAUACUUUAUAUUUAUAUAAAAAAUCCUACAAUUCGAACAUCAUCGGUGUUUUCAAAUGAUCAAUUCAAUGAAUAAAUCACCUCAUCAUGCUCAUACCUCUCUCUCAUUUGGAGAUACAAUCUUUGUAAAACUUGAGAAGCCACUUCAAUUUGAGGAUGUAGCACAUCACCAGCUAGAAAUGAAUGCAUGCAUGUUCCUAUCUCAACCCAACUACAUCCUGCAGUCUUCUCAACUCCUCUUGCUUCCAUCACCUCCCUGAUCUCUACUGCUUCACCCCAUUCACCGAUAUCUGUGUAUGAGUUGGCAAGAAGCACGUAGUUUGAAGAGUUGCGCGGUUCAUUGGUAUAAAGAUGUUCUGCAGUACGCCUUGUCAUUUGUACAUCCCCAUGUAAUUUACAAGCUCCUAGCAAGGCACCCCACAUCACAUUGUCUGGUUUAAUGGGCAGUGCUAAAAUAAGUGCCUCAGCCUCCUGCAAUAGCCCGGCUCGUCCCAGCAAAUCCACCAUACAUGUAUAAUGCUCAGCUGUGGGCUUGAUCAGAUGCUUGUCAACCAUUUCCUUGAAGUAACUAUAACCCUCUUUUAACAGGCCAUUGUGGCUGCAUGCACAGAGCACACCAACAAAAGUGACCUCAUUUGGGGCAAUACCGGAUGGCCCCAGCAGCACCAUCUCAUUGUAAAGCUUCAAGGCCUUCAUUCCCGCGCCAUUCUGAGCAUACCCACAUAUAAUUCCAUUCCAUGAAGCGAUAUCUCUUUCUGGCAUCUCCUGGAACGCCCUCAAUGCAUCCCCCAUCUCACCACACUUUGAAUACAUAUCCACAACUGCACUUCCUACAACAACAUCAGCCCCUAGUAGCCCAAACUUCAAAACAAGUCCAUGGAAAUGUCUUCCCUUUUGGAAUGCAUUAGCAUCAGCACAAGCACCAAGCAACCCACCAAAAGUGAAAGAAUUUGGCUCUAUGUCACCUAACUGCAUUUGGUAAAACAACCACAUUGCUUCCUCCAUGUGCCCGCUUUGCAAGAACCCAACAAUAAUUACUGUCCAGGAAACAACAUCUUGGUCAGGUAUCUCCUCAAACAAACGAGAAGCUGAAGCUACAUAACCACAUUUUGAAUAUAAGUUUACCAAGGCAUUGUUAGUAAAUCGAUCAGAGCAAAACCCACGUUCAAUGAUCAAUGAAUGGACUUGCAUUGCUUCAAAAACUUGCCAGCGAGCUGCAAACUCAUUCAAAACAAUAGCAUAAGUAUACUCAUCAGCAGAAAUCCCUUCUCUACUAAGUUGUCUAAAUAGCCCUAUACUCUUGUCACCCCUUCCAUACUUGGAAUAACAAGAGAUCAUGGCAUUCCAUGUAACCAGACCUCUGCUAGGCAUUCCAUCAAACACUUUCCUUGCAUCCCCUAUCUCCCCAACUUCCGCAUACAUCCUAAGAAGAUUGGUGCCUAUAAAAGCAUCCAAAUCUGAACAAACCUUAACAAUAUCUGCAUGCACUUGUUGGCCAAAUCCCAAAUCACAACAUGGAAUAAUAAUAGCAUACGUGAAAUUAUCAGGCCUAACAGAACUGCAACGCAUUUUCAUGAAAUGGGUUAAGCCUUCUCCCAAUUUAUGGUUUUUUACACACCCAGAUAAAACUAUGUUCCAUGAAUGGCAGUCCCUUUUGGAGGUUCCAUCAAAGAGCUUAAUAGCUUCAGAGACUAAACCAAAUUUGAAGUAGCCUGAUAAGAUGGUGUUAUAUGAAACCACACUGGGUUGAGGCAUGAAGUGAAGAAGCUUGUGGGCAUCAGACAAGGCUUGGGAAUUGAUGUAGGCCUGAAGGAGGAUAUUGCAUUGAUAUACAUGGGCAAUGAGCCCAUUUUUGACAAGGGAAGCAUGGAGGACUGGUGCCUUGUACAUGUGACCAUGUGAGUAUAGCUCAAUACUUCGAAUAUAUUUAUGUUGGGGAGUUGAGUGAAGUGGCUUAGCGCAUGUUGGGUAAAACUCCAUCCUUACCGCUUAAUCAUUUAAGUUGAAUUUAAGUUAAAUUAUAUUUUAACUUAUAACUUAUUACUUAAUUUUUAUUUUAAGUAUUAAAACAGUUUGAUAAAAUUAACUUAAAAGUAAUUUUAAAUUAUCAAAUUGAUAUAUUUAUCAUCUUAAAUUUUAGGUAGAGUAAUAAAGAUCGUAGAAUAAUAAAGAAAAUCGUGAAGAUAAUUAAAACAAAUAAAAGUAAAAUAAAUAUGUGAACUUAAAAAAAUUAAUUAUUUUUAACUUUAAGUCGUACCAUUAAAUUAUUUAACCAAACAUACUUAAUUUACUUAAUCACUUAAAUUAAAUUAUUAAAUUACUUUAAGUUAUUAAAUUAGUUUACUACACAGCCUCUUAGUGUAUGUAUAAAUCAAUUUAAAGAAUAUAUUGUAAGUUGCAUUCAAUGAAGUUUUUGUAAGGGAUUCAACAUGAAUAAGCUUAGCAUCAACUUAAAAUUACAAAUCAUGUUAGUUGAAAAAUAUUAUUAAAAUAUAAAAUAAUUAUUAACUAUAAUUUAGAAAUAAAAUCAAAUUAUAAUGAAUUUGAUUGUCAAAAUAAAUCAAAAUUCAUUUUAUUUGAAAUCUAUUUGAUAAUUAAAUUCAUCAUAAUUAUCUUUCAUAUUAAUAUAAAUUAGGUGAAGUAAAUUUAUAAAUGAUGAAAAAAAAUUUCUUUUUUAUUAGUCUAAGAAAAAUAGAAAUCUAAACAUAAUUAUAGUAGAAUAUUAAUCAUAUCGAAGAGAACCCAUCGCUAAAAAAAUUUAAUAAAAUAUCAAAUACAAAAUUACGAUAAAAUCAUCUUAAUUAAAUUAAAUUUUAUAAUACAUAUUAAAUUUAAAUAAGAUUAAUUUUAUAAACAAUAAAAUUAAAGGUAAAAACACAAUCAAAACACUUACAAUGCACAAGAAGAAUACAAGGAUUCCUUUUCUUCUGCUGCCUUCAAACCCAAUUAUGUACUCAUGUACAUUCGCGGGGAUAGCUCAGUUGGGAGAGCGUCAGACUGAAGAUCUGAAGGUCGCGUGUUCGAUCCACGCUCACCGCAUUUUUACGUCUUUUACCGUCAAUAACCAAAUCUCUGCUAGGCAUUCCAUCGAACAUUUUCCUUGCACCCCCAAUUUUCCCAACUUCUGCUUACAUCCUAAUAACAUCGGUGCCUAGAAAAGCAUCCAAAUUUGAACAAACCUUAACAAUAUCUGCAUGCACUGGUUGCCCAAAUCCCAAAUCACAACAAGGAAUAACAAUAGAAUACGUGAAACCAUCAGGCCUAACAGAAGUGCAUGCAAUGCAUUUUCAUGAAUGGGUCAAAGCUUCUCCCAAUUUAUGGCUUUUAACACACCCAGAUAAAACUAUAUUCCAUGAAUGGCAGUCCCUUUGGGAGGUUCCAUCAAAGAGCUUAAUAGCUUCAGAGACUAAACCAAAUUUGAAGUAGCCUGAUAAGAUGGUGUUAUAUGAAACCACACUGGGUUGCGGCAUAAGUGAAGAAGCUUGUGGGCUCCAGACAAGGCUUGGGAUUGAUGCAGGCCUGAAGGAGGAUGUUGCAUUGAUAGACAUGGGCAAUCAGCCCUUCUUUGAGAAGGGAAGCAUGGAGGACUAGUGCCUUGUACACGUGGGUAUAGCUCAAUUUUUGAACCAUAGGGUUUAAACAGUCGAAUUUUGUACAAAAUUGAUGUGUGCGUACUAAACCUUAAGGGUAUAAAUGAAAUUAAUUAUAUUUUAAAAUUUGGAUGUGUCAAAGGAAUUAAAGACUGGAUACGAAAAUAUAUUUAUUUCCCAAUAUUUGGUUAUUUGAUAUAAGGAUUAGAUAAAAGCAAUGAAUAAUUAUAAUUUAUCCAAUUGAAAAAUAUUAAAAAUAUUGACAAAAAAAAAAUUAUCAAAAGAAUUUAAUGAAUUUUUUCAAAAUAAUUUUAAAAAAUAGUGAGAAAUGUCAAUAAAAAUUUUAAUAAUUCUUUUUAAAAUAAAUUCAACAAUUUCACUAAUAAAUUUUUAGAAUUUGUUUUGAAAUAAUUAAAUAUAAAUCACUUGAGACAUAAAUAUUUUAUUGAAAAAGUUAUCUGUCACAGGAUAACAUAAAUUAAUAUAAUACCAUAUUUAAAACUUAGGUAUUCAAUUGUAAAUUAAUAACCGACCAAACUUUAAAAAAUUUAAGGCCAUGUUUGGUUCCCAAAAAAUAUUAAGAAAAGAAAAAAAAAUGAUUUUUUUUCAUGUUUAGUUCUCCUAUAAAAAAUAUGGAAGAAAAUAAAAUAUAAUUAAAACGAGUUAAAAUGAUAUGUAUUUUUAAAUUAUUUAAUUUUUAUAUUGAUGAAUUAAAAUAAAUAAAAUGAAUUUGAAAUAGUAAAUAAAAAUAAUUUAUUAAUUUUUAAUCUAUUUUUUAUUUUCCUUCUACUUUUCCUUUGUAUUUUCUUUCUCUUAUAUUUUUCCUCAAAUUUUGUGAGAACCAAACCAAACAUAGACAUUUAAAAAUUUUCAAAAUCAAACUAGAAAUAACUCAUCCUAAGAACAAAUUUAAUAAAAUAUUAAAUAUUUAAAUGAAAUUAAAAUUUAUCAUUAUAAAAAGAAAAAAUAGAUAAUAGAAUCCAAAAUUGAUAUCAACCACCACCAUUUGGGAUGAUACAUAAAUAUUGAAUAAUUAAAAAAAAAACAAAUUGAUUUAGAAAAUAAUACAAUUUUCUACCAUAUUUAAGUGAAGCUUCCAUAAAUCAAAAGGGAGAAAGAAAGAAAGAAAUCAUAUCAAAUCUACCACUAAACUAAAUCAUAAUUAGUAACAUAUUAGACACCAAAAUUAUAAAAGCCAUGACAAUGAGACUUUAACUCCUCCUAACAGCAAAAACUUUAUUACUGCGAGGGUGAAACUAGGCUCCCUGUAUAGACAUAAACUUGUGUUGUAUCCAUCUGAAGACCGCCGCUGAGAAUCUGUAUGCAUCUUAGACCAUUGAUCUUUGAAUUGUAAGCCACCAACGUCUCAUAGUGUUUCAGCAAUAUUUCACCAUCUUCCAUUAGACCUACCACUUCAAUGUAUUCAUUAAUAGGCACUCCAUGUGGUGGUUUUAUGUCAAUUCUAUACUCUCUCACCCACUCUUUCUUCUCGUAAUCCUUCAACUUCCAUAUCUCAAUGUGUGUACCCAAUGAAAAAUCAACCAUACCCAGAUAGCCUCUCAGGUCGACCAACUCAAACCACUUUGAAACUUUUGAGGAGAAUUCUUGAUGAGGGAUUGACUUAAAUUCCUCUUGUCUGAAGUCAAAAGAAAUCACCAUGCUCUUCAAAUCAUCAGGACUGAAUUCAUGGUUAACCAGCCAGUGCAGCGCACCAUUUGCAUAUACACCCUUUUUAUAAAGAGGAUAACAAGGAACUUGGCUGAUCUCUCUCCAUGAGCUUGUGGUUCCCAUUGUAUAUACCUCAGCACCCAACUGGUACCCUUGGUUGGCCCGAUCAAAAUCCCGAAAAAAUACGCGAACAAUCUUAUACCUUUUAGUUGAAGAAUCAAACCCCAAUCCAUACCUGUCCAAGUGUGGCCAGCGGGACACGAUUAUGGACCGUGGCAGCAUGAGAGGCUCUCCUUUGAGAGGAUUAGAUACAAAGGCUUCCUCCUCUUUGCCACAUUUUACAAAGCAAAGUAAACCGUGGCAGGAAUUCUCCAAGUCAUACCUCCCUCUGUUGGGAAACUCAAGAAUAGCCUUGGGAGACCGGUAAUGUUCUUUCAUCAACUGCAGGCUGCUCUUUCUAUGCUUGGCAUGAAACCAAUGGAUUAAAACCAGAGCUUCUUCACGAGUAGUGGCUUGAGCUAAGUGCAUGUUGGGAAGACAAGGGUCGUCAAUCAAGUUGCACCAUUGUUUACAUACACGGCUUAAUUGGAAAAGCCACCUUAUGGGUAUUCUUGAAAAGAUCUCCAAGAUAAGCUCUCUUGGAAUUUUUUCAUUCAUGAUUCCUGUUUUUCCAUGGCUUAUGAGCUAAGCCUUUACAUAUAUAUAAAGAGGGAGAGAGGGAGAGAGGGAGAGAUGUUACUAGUUGUAGUUGCCUUUCUUUGAAGUCUAUUAGGAUUAGGAAACACAGGAUCGGGGUAGUUGCCUUAUUUGUGAAGGAGUUCUAUUUGCAAAGACGUUGUAGGGACUUCUAUGAAUUCCGAUUGGACCUAAUCUGCAUCAAGUAUAUUUGUGUAUAUAUAUAUAUAUAUAUAUAUUAAUAAAAAAUGAUCAUAGUAUAAAAAUAUAUCAUGUUAUUUUAUUUUCAUGUUUCAUAUUUCAUAUUUUAAAUAAUGGGCUUUGAGCAAAAACCAAUAUUUUUACCAUUUUAUUUUUAUUCUUCUUAUUUUUAUAUAUAUUUUUUCUUGUUAUUAAAUUUGAUAAAAAAAUUCAUAAUCAAAUUGAAGAGAACUCAUCACUAAAAAAAAUCUAAUAAAGUAUCAAAUAAAGAAUUACAAUAAAUUCAUUUUAUUAAAAUUUAUUAUAUAAUAUAUAUUAGGAUUUAAAUAAAUUUAAUAAAAUUUAAAAUAAAAACAAUAUAUAUCAAAAACUUAUAUUUUAUUUACCAAAAUCUAAUUUAAGAUUUUAUUAAUAGGGAUAAUAGCAUUGAUUUUAUUUCAUAUUAAAGGAAUUUGAUAAAUAAUUAAUUAAAACCGAAAGAAUUAAUAACAAUAUUGGUCAUUUUCUUUUUAGGGAUUUAUUUUAAUAUGGGAAAAAAAUUUGAGGGCCUAACCUAAAUUCAUUGAAUUCCCAUAUAUUAUUAUUAUUAUUUGAGAACAAAGUCUACUAAAUUUUGUUAGUGACUAAGUGGUGACAAAGUAUAUAAAUUGUGAAUUAUAAUAUACAUAAAUAGAUCUUCAUAUUUCAAAGUGUUCGGUGCUUUCAAUGUAUCGAAUUAACAAAAAUAUUGAAAACAAUGACAAUAAUAAUUAUUUGAUUUAUGAAAAAAAAAUAUAUAUUUUAAAAUAUUUUUAAAUAGACAAAAAUAAUACCAAUUUAUAAAAUUUGAGAUAAUUUUUUUAAUAUAUUUUUAAAUUAAUGAGUCAAAACUCACUUUUCCCUAUAUUUUAAUUUAAAAUUUUAGUUUAUUUUCAAGAAUAUAAAUAUUCUUUGGUCAUCCUGAGAUGAUGCCACUCCCACAAAAUUUAUAAAUUUAAAAAUUAUUAAUAAAAUAAAAGAAUGAGUAUAUAGUUUUACCCAUAUCAAACCCUAUUAGUAUCAAAGUAUUGGAAAUGUUGAUAAGAUUAUGACCAUCAAUCACAUUAUCAUCAUCCUCGUAAGGUAUAUUUAUACUCUAAAACCCUUAUAAUGACCAAUAUCAUAAAAAAUAAAAAAUAAAAAAUGAAAAAUUUGACGCAUGUUGAAUGCUUGAGAGGCCUUGAUCACCAAAAGCCCACUCCUUUUCAAACUUUGUUUUUCUUGCCCCUUCAAGUUUAUAUUUUUCAUUAAAACCAAACUUCACCUUAAAAUGUCAUUAUUCACUAAAUAAACUCAAUUAUAAUUACCUAUGAAAUAAAAAUAUUAAAAUAUAAUUAAAAAUAAAUAAAGCAUUAAUUCCCAUCAUUUGUUUUUUUUUUUAUCUUUUAUAUAUUUUUUUCAAUAUCUAACUCUCUUGUUAAUUAAAUAAUAAUAUUUAUAGGAAUAAAAAAAAAUUAACUAUGAUGUUUUCAUUCCCUAUAAAUAGAGUAGAUUGUAUAGUUUUUUAGAUACCAACUUCCAAAGACAAUUCAAAAGACAAGAGUGGGAGGGAGGUUUGAAAAAUUAUUUCAAUGGAUAAUACUUAGAGAAAGGAGUUCAAAACCUUUUCAAAUCUUCAAAAUGGACUUCAAGGAAAUUUUAAUUUUUUCAAAGCCCCAAGCUUCAAGUUUUGAUAUUGAAAUUUGAAAGACCUUUUCCAUUUGGGAUCAAGUUUGCUCAAACCUUAGUCGGUGUUGUUCAAGUCACAUCAAAAUUGAAAUAAAUCCAAAGUUGAGUCACACCAAAAGCCCAAGUCAUACUAAAGUGCAAGUCAAGGCUAACUCAAGGUAAGACUCCAAUCAAAUUAAAACUUAAAACUAAAUCAAGUGAAACCUCAAAUUAAGCUCAAACCAUUUAACGUAGACUUGAAGCUCUUGUUUUUAACAACUUAGAAAAAUAAAGAAUCUAGACAACAAGAUAAAGACCAUCAUCCUUUAAGGCUAUAUUUGGUUGCCUUUAUAUAUAUAUAUGGGUUACAAUUCGUGUUGGUGGGUUGUGUUCGUAUUAUGUCAAAGUCGAGGUAUUCUAUCAUAUAGCUCAACUCAAACAUGAUACAAAUGAUAAUUGUGUUAAAAACAUAAAUCGAAUGCUAUCAAUUUGUGUCGGGUUGUGUUCAUAUUAUAUUAAACCCUAGGUAUUCUACUAUAUAACUCAACCCAAACUUGACACAAGUAAUAAUCAUGUCAAAAACAUAAACCUAAGUACUACCUAAUUAUUAAACAGGUAACACAUUAUCUUGUAACAUAUUUAACCUAUUUAAUAAUUAGGUCUUUCUAUUUAAUAAUUAUGUUGAAUUAGUUCUAUAUAUGUUUAUAUGAUUCACAUCAUAAUAUCGGGAUAUUGCGACGAUAUAUCGUCGAAAUAUCUGUGUCGAUGCAUGUGGAAAUGAAAUUUUCCACAAAAAUAUCGAUGGUCAACGCAGGAGCAUCCACACUACCAUUGGGGCAAAUUUGUCCCUUGUUAAUAAUCUUGCACCAUAUAUACAUAUAUUAAAAGUUUUCAUUUACACAAAAUAUUAAAACAAUACUUUAAACAACAAAUUAAUUAUAAUUAAAUAAAAAAAUUUCAUUUAAUUAAGUAACAAAAAGUUUUUAAUGUCAUUAAUAUAUUAAUUAAAUAUUAAAAAAUUAUACAUUUAUCAUCAUUUGUUUGAUAUCAUUUAAUACAAUUAAAUUAAAUAUAUCAUAAUUUUAAUAUUAAAUAUAUUUUAAAAUUAAACAUAUUAUAAUCAAAUAUCACAAUAUUAUUAUCGAAUAAUAUUUGAUAUAAUUUAAUAAUCAAUAUAUAUAUAUAUUAAUUUCUUCAACAAAAUAACUUUAAAAUGUUUAUUUUACUUCUAAUUUCAUUUCUAAAAACUUUAUUUUACAUUUUCAAAAGUUUUGAUCAAUUUUAAAUCAAUCCAUAUUUUAUAUCAAAAUAUCCGUCGAUAUAUCCGUAAAAUCGAACUACCGAUAUAUUAGUGAUUACCAAUAUUUUUAUCUUUGUUUAUGACUCAAUUGACCUAUUUAUUUAAAAAUAAAUUAAAAAUGAGACAAAUAUGAAUUAAAUAGUUUAAUAACGAGAUUAUUAAAUGAGUCAAUUCAGAUUAAAUUUAUAUUAUACAAGUUGAUAAAAAAAUUAUAUAUUUAUUAAACGAUAGAUUGACAUGAAUUUUAUCCAAACUCAUUUAUAUUUAACUCAAACCCACGAAUAUCAUAUUGGAUUCAUGUGAUAUUAGUGAAUUGUAUUAAACUUUGCAACCAAUAUACAUUUAAAAUAUUUGAAUCAUAUAUAUUAUUUAUAAAUAAAUAAUUAAUUAUUUACUAAUUUUUUAAAUUAUUAAAUGAUUUCUAAAUAAUAUUAAACAUAUUUUUAAUUGGAAUGCAAUACAAAUUUUAUUUUAAAUAAAUAUAGAAUAUUAAAAAAUAAUAUAUAUUUUCAUUUUAUUUUUUAUUUAUUUUAUAAAUUAAAUAUAAUAUAUUAUUAGAUAUAGAUCUUUUGGAUAUCAUCUCCAUUGAAUAUGAUAACCGUCGGAUAUAUUCAUGAGAUACCAAUUGAUUUUUUCGUACAAUUGAAGGUAAGAAACAAUGUCGGUUUAUGAAAACCUCAAAUUUUACAAAAACAGUAAACUCAUGAAAAAACCCAUCAGUUUAAACUUCAAAGUUCGAAGUUACAAUUUACAACUAAGCCAUUUUCGGUUAUUCACAGGGAAAUCCCUGGGAAGAACACUGAGUAGAGGUACCCUUUGCUUCUCUUCAAUGGAGUCUUCUUCUUUGAGCUUUUUCUCCACACUGAAGCGUCCGUUAAGCACAGGUAGUAACAUUAAUAACUUCAAACCCAAAGGGGCUCUUGUGGAAGUCUCCGCCUGCUCUUACCAGAAGUUCCUUCACUUUGCUUUGGAUGAAACCAAACGCCGCACCCAUUUACUUCCUUCCCCUUUGCAGGUACUGUUUGGUUGCCUAGAGAAUAUUGGAAUAUGGGUUUGUUCUAGUUUUGAACUGCUUCAAGAAAUGUGCCUUCACUUCUCUAGAAGGAUGCUGAAAUUUGAACUUAGUGUCUUCUUUGUAUUGUCUUGUCAUUAGCUUAUUUGUCUUGAUUUCAGAUUUUGGUUCCAUGUGUAUUCAAAUUCUUGGCUGAAUGAGGGUUUGUUUACCCUCUCCACUUUUAAGCGUUUUUGCAAGUGGGUAUUGAAAUUAGAACUAGCUUGUGAUCCUGUAAGCCCUAAUGGAUUUUUUUUAUGAUUAGUGUGAUUCUGAGUGUGAAUGGGUUCCAUGUUCUAUAAUUAAAAGCAAAUGCUUUUGAUGUUGACCAUUUGCUCUAAAAAUCAAUGCUAAGUGAUGUGGCUAAAAAAAAAUGUUUGGAAUCAGAAUAGUGGUGGUCAUCUUUUACUUUGAAAUGAGAACCAGAGAUCACUGCAUCUAUUUUAGUACACAUUUUGAUAUAAAUUGUUAGAUUAUAUAAUACUCAGUCAUAGAUAAUUAUCAAACCGGGUUUAGGGUGCCAGAGUGUUUGUUUUGCCUUUUUUUUUUCAUUUUAAUUUCUGGAAGUUUUGGAGUAAUUAGCUUUACGUUACUGCAACUGAGUUGGGUUGUUCUUUCUCUUGGAUUCCUUCUUGAGCAAACCAAGUCACGGAUCAGUUAGCCAAACAAGGAGCAAAGUAUAUGGCCUCCUUUGUUGGAGAUUUACUUUCCCCUUUCGGGUCCAAUUUUUUUGCUCCUAGUUAUGUGAGGGGUUUUUUAUGGGGAGGGUCUAGUUUUUGUGGUUCUAUUUCUUGGUCACUUUCUACCAUUUUUUGUACAUUUUUGAAGGAUUGUUUAUCCUUCUUGUAUUUAUCAACUGUUUGAUGAAUGAAAAUGUUUGUUUCUGAUAAAAAAAUUACCUUUACAUUAGCAAUAUAGGGACUUGUUAGUUAAAGGAAUGUAUAUGAUUGCAUAAUUACAUUAUUGCUUGCAAGAAAUGUUAAGAUGCAAGAUAUAUGCUUGACGUAUGUGUAUGUCUGAAAUCAUUGUAAUGAUUAGUUUAUUCAUUUUUUUUCUGUUUUAACCGUAAAUGUGGAUACUUAAUGGCUUGAACACUUGGUCUUUUUACACUGAGGUCAGUUCAUAAACCCUCCUUGGAACCCGUAGUCAACAGGUCAUUGGCCAUCAUAUAUUGCAUUAUGUGUUCUUACUAUGGUCUUAAUUGUCUGUCAAUAUGUCAAGAUCUCUGUCCUACCUCAAAUAUCUACAAGUGUGCAUAGAGUUUAUAUCAGUUAGUUUUUUUCUUUUUUCAUGGAGUCCUUCUCAUCUGCUAUUCUUCUCAACAUUAUGCUUUUAUGACAUAAGGAGAAUUUCAAUUCCAUGAUGGCCAUGGAUGGAAAAGCAAAGCUUCAAAUGGUAUCAUUCCAAGCUCCCAAGAUUAGACUCCUCCGUAAUUUGAGCAUUGAAGCUAGUGAAGGAAUGCAGGUAUUGUUCUUCAAUAUUUCUGUUGCUCAUGUAUUGUGACAUUGUCUUUUAUGGAGCGUGAUUCCAUUAUAUUAUUUCAUUUAAUUUUUUUCCUUGUAUAACUAUUUGAUGCAACUGUGGGAACUUGCAAUUGCAUGGACUUCCUAUGAUUUGGUGUAAGAAUAUUUCUUUAAUGUGACGUCAAUAAUUUAGUCUGCUCUAAGACUUCAGAAUUAUCAGAACAAUUUUCACCAACUUUGAUGGAUGACAUCAUCCACACAGAAUUUUAUUUUAUAAUUAUCUGGGUACAUUCAUCAUCUACUCAUGAUGUAUGCAUGUAUCUUGGAUUUCAAGAACCUUCAUUGCGCUUUAGUCCCACACAUGUUAGUCUCUUCACUAAGAGGUCGAUUGGUUCCUGAUCUACUAUACUAUCUUCUGUAUUAGCAUCCUCAUUAGCUUGAGUUGGUUAUAUUGCAGCUUAUUAGUUUCUUGAUGCAUGAGUUCUACUAAUAUCAGAAUUCAGUAUGCUAUUCUUCUCUAUGAUUCUUUGUUAGAAAUGAUUUUAUAUGAAGGUCUAUCCUAACUAUCAAGCUAAUCCAAUAUUGAACAUGAUGCCUGGAUGGUUUGGGAACUCAGAUGUGAUCUUGAUGAAUGUGCUCAUAGUCGAGAAAGGUAAGUUCAUAAAAUGACCAAGAUAUUAUUAUCAUAUAGAUUUUCUCUGAUGCAUACAAGCAGAGAUUUUCAGAUUGGAAACCUUGAAUUGCAAUUCAUUUGCUCAGACCUUGUGCUAUAAUAGUGUGUAGAUUCUUUGUAAUAAAUAUGUAUGGUGUUCUUUGUCGUAAUUCUGUCUUCAAAAUAUGUAUGCAGAUUUUGGAUUUUGCUGUGUUCCCAGAACAAGAGUUUGAUCUACCUAUAUUUUGCGCCAAUUUUUUCACCACUCCUACCACGAACAUUAUUGUGUUGUAAGCUAUCUUCUUUCUUUUUCUGCUAAGGAACAUGAUUAAGCUGGCUGCCACUGUCUUCUAGAAGUAAAUACAUUCUGUUACAUAGUCAGAAAAAAAACUGUUUUCAUAAAUUAUGAUGGAGCCUCUCCAAAAAUUUUAUGGAAACGCAUUUCUGAUAAGAAACACUUGUGCAAGGCAAUGUCAUGCUUCCUGCUGAAAACCUGAAUUUCUAGAAAGUUGUUAUAACUUCGGUAAAUUUAUUUUAAGUUUAUGUUUGCCUUAAAUUUUUAUUUAGCCCAAUUUCAUGUGUACUUAUAUGCAUAUGCAUGCAUGCAUACAUGUCUUUUUGAAUGACAAGGUGGAGAUAACUGAUUGGUAUAGGAAAAGCUUGAUUUAUCUUGCCUGAUUUCUGUAAAUUGCACAAUUUAUCAACCUUAAAACAUCCUAGUUGGCUAAUGUUAUUGCUUGAUGAUCCAUUGGCAUGUGUGUACAAGUUUUGCAAGAAAAACAAGACGGAAAACAAGUUAAAUGAAGGAAAAAAAUCUAAAGGAAGGACUCUUCACUACCCCACUGGUCUCAUUAAUUUCACUAGGCCCCCCUGGUGAGAUUAACAGGCCCCCCAGUGAAAUGACCUGGGAGGUUCACUACCCAGGAGCCACUGCUGUCUGCUACCCCCCUUACCUAACUAGUCAGCAGCCCCCUAGCGAAGCCUCCACAACCCUGAUGUCCACUACCUCUGCUCCCUUAGCAAAUCGGCCUGCAGACACCCCUAGAAAAGUUAAACCAGAAUUUUCUGGUCCUCUUUUCCAAUAAGCUCACAAGUCACCCCUCGCAAAGAUACUGUUCCUUUUUAAAUCAUCCUAGCUUCAAUCCUUCGAAAUGAACACAUUCCCCCUGACACCUAUGACAACUGUACAAGCCCAUGCAUGACACCUCUGCUACUCUGCAAAUUAUGAAGCAAUGCGGCAACCAAAAAUCUCAGGAAAUCCACCUCACCCCAUUGUAGACUUGAGCUGCAAAAAUCCUACAAACAGCUAAUUUGGGGGCAAGUGGACAAAAAGCAAAAAUAGAGUUAAAUAGUUGAUAGAGUAGUUAGGUUAACUUAUGCUUUGUACAUAUGUGAAUUCUAGAAAGACAAUUCAAGAAUUUGAAGUCCAUCAUGUUGUCCUCUCUAUAAAAUUCCUUCUGUUCUUUUCAUUUUCACCAUGAGUAGCUAAACCAAAAGUCAAGGUGUAGGGAGGUGAAGACAUCUCAAUCUUGCUGCUCUCAGCAUCUAAGGGAGUCUCAUAGCCUCAUGUUCCUGAAUUUUCUCAGCUAUUAGAGUGCUGAGUUUGAGCUUGUUGAGACAAUGAACUAGCACCAACCUCUUGCUGUUAUCACUACUCCCUAGUUGCUUGGAAAGCCUUGGACGGGAAGUUGAUGAUAGAGUAGCAGCUGUGUGUGGAGCCUCCUUUGUAAUUUGACUCAAAUUGGCCAAUAGUUAUUGGAUAUAGUAGAAGAAAGUGAGGACUGGAAAAAUGUUCAGUGGUGAUGCCUAUCCAAGGUAUGGGCCACACACACUCACAGUGCUCAAAUUAGGUAGGAUAAUUUCUCAACCUCCUGAACCUUGAGAUUCUCUAGUUCUCUUGCACAUUUUCUUAACAAAAUACCAUUGGUUAAUCAUCUUCUUACAUCCCUUCCCUAACACACUACCAUUUGCACCAAGUAUCCAUGACUGUCAAUGCCCGAGGAAAAAUGACACCUGACUCUUGUCAAGUACUAAAAUUGUGAUCCUUUGGCUUGAGGACUCAACAUUUCAUCAUUCAGCCACUGAGCACACUCUUGAUAAGAACCACCAAGCAAUAACCAUAUGUUGGAUGUGGAUAAUUAAUGUAAUAAUUCAUCCCUCCAUUAGUGUGAUCAACUUUAUUGAUAAGCAAUUCAAAGAAUCGAUCAGAAAUAAAAUUCUACUCCUAAAGGAAAUAAAAUACUAAAUGCAGUUUGAAGUACUAAACUAAAGUGAUAAGAAUUAGAACUAAACAGAAAGCUAAUUUAAUAAGAAUAGAAAUCCUAAUUUUAAUUUGAAUGAAAAUACGAAUUGUUCUUAUCCUCUAUGCCUAAAAUAAACUUGAAAUGAAUGGUCUAUAUGAUAGCAUUCGCCAUGGAUUAAAUCUUGUAAUUGCUUUCCCUAACCUCUUCUUCAAACCCUUAAUCAUAGAAGGCUAUGUAUUUUAUUGUUCUGCACUCCUCCAUGAAGGCCAACAUUCACUGCAGCCAACCUAGUUUCUCUAGAGUUUAGACCAAUCCAUUAGCCGCUAGCCACCACCACCUUCAUGUAUGUGUUGGCAUCUUAGAUCUAAGCAACAAAAACAAUACUGUGAAGAGAAAGAAAAGGGAGAAUCCCUAAUUAUUGUUAUUGAAAAACUGUAAAGAAUACACAUUGGACUUGGGUAUAUAUAUACAUGUUAGUGGGACCCACAAUACAAUAAGGAAAGAAAAGGAAAAGGAAAAGUAAAUAACCUAAAUAACUAUACACUAUCUAACACUCCCCCUCAAGCUGGAGCGUAUAUGUUAUAUGCACCAAGCUUGUUACAAAUGUAUUUAAUUCUAGGACCUCUGAGAGAUUUAGUAAAAAUAUCUGCUAGUUGAUCAUUUGAAUUGACAAAACUAGUCGCCACACAUCCUAAUGCGAUCUUCUCUCUAAUGAAGUGACAAUCAACUUCAAUGUGUUUGGUCCUUUCAUGGAAGACUAGAUUGGAUGCAAUAUGCAAAGCGGCUUGGUUGUCACAGAUGAGCUUCAUCUGUUCAUCAUUUCCAAAUCUCAACUCCAGAAGAAGAUGUUUCAGCCAUAUGAGUUCACAUGUUGCCAGAGCCAUAACUCGAUACUCGGCUUCAGCACUAGAUCUGGCCAUGACAUCUUGUUUCUUACUCUUCCAAGAUAUUAGGUUACCUCCAAUAAAAACACAAUACUCAGAAGUGGAACGUCUAUCUAUGGGUGAGCCAGCCCAAUCUGCAUCUGUGUAACCAACAACUUGGGUAUGACCUCUGUUCUCGUACAACACACCAUGGCCUGGUGUGCUUUUGAUAUAUCGAAGAAUGCAGAUUACAACAUCCCAAUGGCUAUCACAUGGUGACUGUAGGAAUUGACUAACAACACUUACAGGAAAAGAAAUGUUUGGACGAGUAAUGGUGAGGUAGUUCAGUUUACCUACAAGUCGCCGAUAUCUCCCAGGAUCUCCUAAAGGCUCCCCCUGGCCUGGUAUAAGUUUGACAUUUGGAUCCAUAGGAGUGUCUACCGGUUUACAGUCUAACAUACCGGUUUCUUCCAAGAUGUCUAAAACAUACUUCCUUUGGGAAAGAACCACAUUGGAACUGGAUUGAGCUAUUUCAAUCCCUAAGAAAUACUUGAGUUUCCCCAAGUCUUUAGUCUGAAAGUGGGUGAAAAGGUGUUGCUUUAGUUUCUGAAUACCAUUCUGAUCACUGCCUGUAAUGACGAUGUCGUCCACAUAAACUACCAGAUAAAUACACUGCCCCGAAGAGUUAUGAUGAUAGAAAACGAAAUGGUCUACUGUACUACGGAACAUGUCAAACUCCUGAACAACAGAACUAAAACGGCUAAACCAUGCUCGAGGAGAUUGUUUCAAGCCAUAUAGAGAACGGCAUAACCUGCACACUAAACCAGACCCCCCCUGAGCAACAAAACCAGGUGGUUGCUCCAUAUAAACUUCCUCAGCAAGAUCCCUAUGAAGGAGAACAUUUUUAAUAUCUAACUGAUAAAAAGGCUAAGAACGCAUAGCAGCCAUGGAGAGCAAUAGACGAACAGAAGCUAUCUUGGCAAUAGGAGAGAAAGUGUCACCAUAAUCAAAACCAUAAACCUGAGUAUAGCCUUUAGCAACUAAGUGGGCCUUAAGGUGAUCAACCUGACCAUCAGGGCUAACCUUAACUGUGUAGACCCAACGACAACCAACUGUAAAUUUACCAGAGGGUAAAACAACAAGAUCCCAAGUGCUAUUGGAGUGUAAAACAACCAUUUCAUCUACCAUUGCCUGUCGCCAGCCUGGAUGGGAAAGAGCCUCAGGGGUGCUAUUGGGAAGAGAAACAGAAGAUAUAGCAGAAACAAAUGCAGAAUAGAGUGAAGAUAAUCGAUGGUAACUCAAAAAAUUGUAAAUGGGAUGAGGAUUACGAGUAGAUCGAUUACCUUUCCGAAGAGCAAUGGGUAAGUUAGCAGAAGGAGGCAGAGCCGGGGCAGGAGAAGCCGAAGGGAUAGGAAGAGACUCAGAGGUGGAGAAGAACGGUGAGUCCUCAAAGAAAGUGACAUCAGAGGAGAGAAAGUAGCGAUGAGUCUCAGAGGAAUAACAACGAUAACCCUUUUAAAGUCUGGAAUAUACCAAGAAGAUGCAUUUUGUGGCUCUGACAGAAAGUUUGUCCUGUCCAGGAGUGAGAAUAUGAAUAAAGCAAGUACAACCAAAAACACAAGGAGGAAGGAAAUAAAGUGGUUGGUCAGGGAAAAGAAGGGAAUGAGGAAUCUGAUCGUGUAAUACAGAUGAGGGCAUACGAUUAAUCAAAUAACAUGCUGUAAGAACAGCGUCCCCCCAAAAACGAAAAGGAACAUGACUAUGGAGAAGGAGAGUACGAGUUGUCUCAACAAGAUGUCGAUUCUUACGUUCAGCUACCCCAUUUUGUUGAGGAGUAUGAGCACAAGAAGACUGAUGAAUGAUCCCAUGUUGGGACAUAAAUGAAGUAAAUGGUGUAGAAAAAUAUUCCCUGGCAUUGUCACUGCGCAAAACACGAAUAGAAAUAUUGAACUGGGUUUGGAUUUCAGCAUAAAAUUUUUGAAAAAUAGAAAAUAACUCUGCUCGAUUUUUCAUUAAAAAUAACCAAAUACAUCGAGAAUAGUCAUCAAUGAAAGUGACAAAAUACUGAAAUCCUAAAGUAGACGCGGUCCGACAAGGACCCCGAACAUUAGUGUGGACAAGUUCAAAAGAAGACUUUGCCCGAUUAUUCAAACACUUUGGGAACGAGACACGAAUAUGUUUCCCAAGCUGACAGGACUCACACGCAAGCGACGACAAAGAUGAAAAACUAGGGACCAUUUUCUGGAACUUGGAUAGACUAGGGUGGCCCAGGCGACUGUGGAUGAGGAGGGGAGUAUCAGUGGAAAUGCAAACUGCAGGAGUUGAAGGUGCGGUGAGGUGAUAGAGGCCUUGAGACUCACGUCCUAUGCUAAUCGUCUUCCCCGUACUCCGGUCCUGCAAGGUCACAAAUUUAUCAGAGAAAGUGAUAGAACAGUUAAGAGUGCGAGUUAUUUUGCUGAUGGAAAUAAGAUUAAAAGGACACUCAGGGGCAUAAAGGACAGAAUAGAAGGUAAGGAAGGGAGAGGAUGAGCGAAACCAAAACCUUUAGCCAUAGUUUGGGAACCAUUAGCUAAAGUAACAGUAGGUAAGGCAGAGGUAGUAGUAAUAGAAGAGAAAAGAUUCUUAUUACCAGAUAUGUGAUCAGAAGCACCAGAAUCUAGAAUCCAAGGUCCAAGAGAAGAUGUGUGGGUAAGACAAGCAGAAGCAUUACCAGUCUGGGCAACAGAAGCAACAAAAGCUGACUUGGUGGCUUGAUAGCGGAGAUAGUCAUCAUACUCACUGUCAGUGAGGGAAAUACCCUGAGAUGUGGAGGAACUGGGAGGCUGAGGCGACUGAGGAUCAGAUGAUUGGGCCACGUGGGCAGUGUGGGGAGGCCGCCCAUGUAACUGAUAACACCGAUCACGAGUGUGGCCAAGCUUAUUGCAAUAGGUGCAAUGAGGACGUUGGCCUCUACCUCGGUUACCACUGCGUCCUCCUCGAGAGCUAGUUUGAGAAACUAACACAGAAGAAUUUGAAGUGUUAUCAGAUGGCAAAGUCUGAGUACGGAGGAGGCGAGCAAACACAUCAUCCAAGGAUGGAACGGAGGAAGUGCCAAGAAUCUGAUCGCAGACGGUCUCGAGAUCUGGACGGAGGCCAAUAAGUGUAAGAACCAUGAAGAACUUGUCAAUCUGUGUUCGUUGAUCCCCAACAUCAGUAGUAAGAGGCAUCACGGUCAAGAAUUCCUCCUUAAGAGAGGCAAUCUACCAAUAUAAGUAGAUAAAUCCAUGUCUUGUUGUCUGACAUUGACAAUAGAAGAAGCCACCUUAUAAAGACGUUGGAUAUCAUUCGUGUAUGGCCCUUUCGCCUGAUUCCAAAAUUUAAAGCAUGUUUUGUAGACCCGAAGAUGAAGCAGAAUCUUAGGAUCAACUGAUUGCCAUAACACAUUACAUAACUGUGCAUCUAUCUUCCUUCAUUGUACUCUGUCAACCUCAGGGAUAUCCGCCUCCUGCGUAACAAGGUGAUCCUCUUAACCUUGACCCAUAAACCAAAGCUCCACAGAGGCAGACCAGGACAAAUAAUUUUCACUUCCAACCAAUUUCUCCUAAGUAAUCAUAGGAGAUCCAGAUAUGACAGAGGAAAAAGUGGAACUUUUAGUAGCCAUAUCUACUUAUCUGGUGAAUGAAAUACGUUUGGAUCAAAGAGAGCCCUAAUACGGCUUAUCGCGGACUUCCUAAGACACGUGUAGGGCUCGGGGUGGAGAGGAAGUCACCAGAGGUCGCCGGAAAGGCUGUUUAGAGGGUCUGCGGAGACAAAAAACCCCAAAAAAUGCACUUUCAGGGCUCGGAUGACACAAGCACAGAUGGAGGGUGGCUAGAUGGCGUCAGGCGAGGCUGGAGGUGGAAGCGCGUGGCCGGAAAGUGCUUCACGCGCCCUCAUCCGCCGGUGUGUGAGAUGUAGGCCACCGGAGAAGGAAUGCGCGUGGCUGAGAUUCUCCCUCCGGUGCUUUGAGAAAACUUGAAGAUUUCCUCCUUGCACACCUGAUGGUAUGGUCGGUGUCGGAAAAGGACGUUGCCGGAAAAGUCGCCGGCGGUGAGGGUUUUCUGACGGUGAUACGAUUGAUCGGAAAGCUUUAGGAGAUGGGAAGGGUGACCGGAAUGAAACACGGUCACUGAAAGAUUUCCCAGAAUGGAUUCACGGAUAAACCGGAAAUAAUUAGGGUUUUUUUUUCUCCCUUGGCUCUGAUACCAUGUGAAGAGAGAAAAAAGGGAGAAUCCCUAAUUAUUGUUAUUGAAAAACUGUAAAGAAUACACAUUGGACUUGGGUAUAUAUAUACAUGUUAGUGGGACCCACAAUACAAUAAGGAAAGAAAAGGAAAAGGAAAAGGAAAAGUAAAUAACCUAAAUAACUAUACACUUAUCUAACAAAUACUAAUUUUUCAAAAUUGAUCUUUAGGGUUAAAGUACUAACCUUAGGUCUAGAUGUUCCCAAACCUUAAAUUCUAAGUGUUGAAGACGACCUUGAAGUUGUUAGGAGUUUCGUAACCCACGAUCUUCGGCCCCAUGACUCAACUUUGUUCUUGGCACACUUCUGAUGGAGCGGAAAGAAGGGUGGAGGCUAUGACUCUUUUUCUCUCUAGAUGGUGGAAGACCAUAAGUGAUGGAAACCCUAACCCCUAAGGGGUAUUUAUAGGGUUCUUAACUGGGCUUAAGUGAUUUGAGCCUACAUGAGCUUGGGUCACUUAAUCUAGUCCAAAUUGGGUCAUAAUAGAUAUCAAUUAGCCAAAUCCAGAGACUUGUUCACUUACCCUUGUACAACCUUGCGUAAUUACCAAAAUGUCUUUAUGCACAAAAGUGAACUUAGAGUUAAUCCAACCCUUAUAACUCAUGCCAACAAGGCAUAUGAGUUCAAAGCAGGGACCAUUAGGAUCCAUAUGAGUAUUGGUUCCCUCAAAAUUCAAUUCCGAAGUUGAUUCAACAUCCUACUACAAAGAAUUAACCGAAUUCCAGUUUUCUAUGUAAAUAACAACAAAACACUAUGUGUUUGGAUCUGUGAUUUGUUAUCCAUUGCAUUCAGUCUCCCCAUAAACUGGUGUCCGUGGUCUAAUAAGAUGAAAGCUAUCAGUUUUUUGAGACUUCCUCUAUUAUCAUUGAGUUACAAAUCCUCUUAUUAUAUGUUUAAUUGACAUGUCUUAGUUCUCAAAGAGCCUAUGUCAAGUUCCACUUAAGGAACUACUAUGGUCAUAAUUUCCAUGAACACACCUCCUUAGAAUCACCCAAGAGGACAUUUUGUCUUAAUUCUAUGAGAUAUCAUAGUGCCUCUAUUGAGAAUACCUAUUGUUAUCGACUUUCAUCAAUAGUGACCCAAUCCAUAGGGAAUAUAUGAUCAACUUACUAAUUUUAGCAUAAGCUCAAUAUUCUCUCAAGGUUGAGAGACAACAUAAUGAAGUAGCUUGGUGAAGUCAUGACUCACCGUAGGUCUUGUCUAAUGUGUGAUCAUACACACUAGGGCAUAUACCAUGAGAAACCUAUUUUGAUAGUCAAGACUAGUCAUCCUUCCAAUUAGAAGGUGGUGUACUACAACUUCUAAUGGGUUGCCUAAACCCAUGAACCGGCUAUGAACAAGUUAUCUAUUUGCAAGGAACCCAUGACUUGGAUCUUCCGUGCAACUCCUAAUGCACUCAAGUCAUAUACAAUGCAAAAUAUGGAGACAAGAAUGCUCAUAAAGCGUAAUGCAUGACAUAAGAAUAGAUAAAAGUGAAACUGGAAUAUCAUUAAAUAAUGAAUUCCAAAUUUUGUUACAUUAUGUCAUGCUUUUAAGGGCUCUAUCCUAAUAGUAUGUAUUGAGUAGGAUGCUUUUGAGAGCAGAGGAGAGAAAUAUGUUGGAGGGUUUCAGGGUGGGUAGAAACAGAACUAGGGUAUCUCAUUUGCAAUUUGCCGAUGACACCAUCUUCUUUUCUAACACUAGGGAGGAAGACUUGCAGACUCUCAAGAGUCUUUUGUUAGCAUUUGGGCAUAUUUCUGGACUUAAGGUCAAUUUAGACAAGAGUAAUAUUUAUGGCAUCAAUUUGGAUCAAGCUCAUAUUUCAAGAUUGGCUGAGACACUUGAAUGCAAGGCUUCUGGCUGGCCUAUACUAUAUCUGGGUCUUCCUUUGGGCGGGAACCCCAGGGCAGGUGGUUUUUGGGAUCCUGUGAUUGAGAGAAUUUCAAGAAGAUUAGAUGGUUGGCAAAAGGCAUACCUAUCAUUCGGAGGGAGGAUAACUCUCAUCCAAUCUUGCCUUACCCAUAUGCCCUGUUACUAUCUUUCUUUAUUUAAGUUACCCGCUUCAGUUGCUGCAAAAAUCGAGAGGUUGCAGAGGGAUUUUUUAUGGUCAGGGAUUGGGGAAAGCAAAAAGGAUCAUUUAGUCAGGUGGGAUGUCGUGUGUAAACCGAAGGAAAUAGGGGGUUUGGGUUUUGGGAAUAUUUCUCUGAGAAAUCUCGCUCUUUUAGGGAAAUGGUUGUGGAGGUACCCUAGAGAGGGUUCAGCUCUUUGGCAUCAGGUCAUACUAAGCAUCUAUGGUUCACACUCCAAUGGUUGGGAUGCCAACACAAUAGUCAGAUGGUCACAUCGCUGUCCUUGGAAGGCUAUUUCUCAAGUCUUUCAGGAGUUUUCCUCGUUUACUCGAUUUGUGGUAGGAAAUGGGGAAAGAAUUCGUUUCUGGGAAGAUUUGUGGUGGGGGGACCAACCUUUGGGAUCCCAAUAUCCAAGUCUAUUUAGAGUAGUCUUGGAUAAAAACAUACCUAUUUCUUCAGUUCUCGGUCCUACUCGUCCUUUCUCUUGGAAUUUAAAUUUCCGUCGUAACUUGUCAGAUUCUGAGAUUGAGGACUUAGAAGGCCUCAUGCGAUCUCUUGAUGGAGUGCAUUUAUCUCCUUCGGUUCCAGAUGCCAGAUUGUGGCCCUUGUCUUCUUCAGGGCUUUUUUCAGUUAAAUCUUUCUUUCUAGCUUUAUCCCAAUUUUUUGGAUCUCCUUAGGUUUUUCCUUCUAAAUUCGUUUGGAAUUCUCAAAUUCCUUUCAAAGUGCAGUCCUUCAUCUGGUUAGUGGCACACAAGAAGGUGAAUACUAAUGACAUGCUACAAGUGAGAAGACCCUACAAAGCCCUUAGUCCGGAUAUUUGUAUUCUGUGCAUGAAGCAUGGGGAAUCAGCUGAUCAUAUUUUUCUUCAUUGCUCCUUGACGAUUGGGUUAUGGCACAGGUUAUUUCAGUUAGCUAAGAUGGAUUGGGUUCCCCCGAGAAGCAUCCUUGACAUGAUGUACAUCAAAUUCAAUGGAUUUGGUUCGUCUAAGAGGGGGAUAGCCUUGUGGCAAGCUGCAAACAUCGCUCUUAUUCGGAUUGUGUGGAGGGAAAGAAAUGCGAGGAUUUUUGAGGAUAAAGCAAGGAAUUCAGAGUCUCUAUGGGACUCUAUUGUUUUCCUUGCUUCUCUUUGGGCCUAUUGUUCCAAGGUUUUUAAGGGGACUCCCCUUAAUGCGAUACUUCUUGAUUGGAUAGCUGUGUGUACUCCAUAAGGAGUGGUCUUUUUAGAGUGUUUGCUUGUUUUUCAGUGUAUUUUUCUAUAGUUUAGCUGUCUUUGGCAGGAGGAUUCCUCAUCCUUCUUUUGUACUUUUUAUCUAUCAAUAAAUCUUUGUGUCGUUUCCAAUAAAAAAAAACAGUAUGCUUGUUGAUUGAGGCCACAACAAAGUUUUUCCUAUCAUCGAUUCCUCUCCUCCUUUUGAAGCACCAGAAUUGCCUUUCUUAUCAUCUCGCCAUUGAACUCUUCACCCAUCUUAUCGUUCUAGUCCUACACGUCAUUCCCAUGUGUUUCUUAUGAUUCUGAUUAGCAGAAGGAAACAAAAAUAUUAGAAACUUACCUAAGAUUUAGUUUUUUUUCUUAUCUCUUAUGGAGUUACACCAACCUGGUUGCUCUUUGUUUCAACAUAAGCAUGUUGCCUUUUCUAACUCUGCAUGCCUCUGUUUUAUUAUCUAAUGGCUGAAAUAUUACUAUUCCUAUAAUUUGGAAUCAAUUUGGUUUCCUGGAUUUUGUAGAGCACUCAAGAAUCUGGAACUUAGCCUUGAUUGAUCAUUUAUAGGGACCUCAACCCUUUGCAUGAUGUCAUCAACCGGAGGGAUUACAAGGAGAAGUACUACAAAAGCUUAAUGCCUCUUGGUCUCAAGUAUGCAGAGGUAUUGAAGAAAAAAAAAAUGCUUAUUAUCACUAUCUAAUCCCAGUCUCAUGUCGACUUAACACAGAUUUUAUGCAGCUUUUACCUUGGGGAGGAAAGCUUACAAGUGAGUCAUUGAGAUUUUUCUCACCAAUUGUGAUAUGGACUAAGUUUACUUCAAGCCAAUACAAGCAUGGUGUCCUAUAUUCUGCUUUCAUGGAUUACUACAAGGUAUAGUCGUAAAAGGUUUUAGCAUCCUGCUUUGUCUUGAGGUCAAUUCCCAAUUGCAUGCUGUUUAUAAGAAUUUAAAUUUACUUGAAUUUGUUAGAUCCUGUUUGCAUGGCUGGCUAUAUAAUUCAAAAUCCAAUUUUGUGUUAUCACUUUCUGUUGCGUUUUUAGGCAUGGCUUGAGUUAAUGGAACAAGCUGCAGAGGAGAGAGACACUUCACAAAUUAUUUGCAAUCGUGAAGCACAGCAUAGGUAUCUAACAUGGAGAGCAGAAAAGGUAGUCACUGGUAUUCUCACCAGCUUUGUUUCAUUCAGCCGAUAUCUGUGAAACCUUUGUGAUUGGCUUGAAGGCUCCACUGCAUAUUUGCUUGUAAAAUUUAUGAAUGUCUCUCUUUGUCCGUGAUGGCUAUAUAGUACAUGAAUGCAUGAAUGCACUAGAAAAGAUGGCUGCAGGUUAACUCUAGGUUUGUUGGGAUGAAUGCAAAAUCCACCACCACAGUUUGGAUCCCAUCUCAGUGUCCCUUUUUGUCUUUCUCUGUGUGCUAGCACGUCCGCACACACGCAUGGUGGGGGGUUGGAGUGGUGGAGAAGAUCCAGGGUGCAUGCUGAUUGAUAGACUGCUAUAGCCUACUAGUGUUAGAAUUGCAUCUAAAAUUAAAACUGGGGUUAAGACGUCUUGGUUUGUUCAAUUUAGCUCUUUUAUGGUAGAUGGUCAAUGGAGAUUUGCUGACGAGUGAGACAAACUGCUGUAGAGAUCUUUUUGAUCAGUAAAACCACUACAGAGAUUUUGUUCUUACCAACCACUGGUGUAUGUGCUAAAAAGCAGAGAGAGUUGUCCAAAUCUCAUUAUGUUGCCCAUGAGUUGGGAGCCUUUCUGUUGCUGUUGGGUCUGUGAACAAGGAGCCAUUCAGAGGGCUGAUUCCUCUGGUCUAUAUUGAUUGUCAGUGCUGAAACUCAAAACUGUUUCCUUAUUAUUUCUUUAGUACAGCUUCCUUCCUGUUUGGUGUAUCUAUGUUUCUUGCAUACCAGAUGUGUACGGGUUGUUUUCUGGUCACUAGAAGAAAUAAUUGAAAAGAAUAAAUAGAACUGGACUAACUCAGGAAGGGAUGUGCUUACCACAACAGGACUGAAGUUGACAUCCUUAAAGUGGAUAACUGGAAGAUUAUUACGUUGUUUUUUUUUUUUUCCCCUUUUUCACUAAAAGAAGCUCUGCAUCCAAAUGAUCUAUUAAGAAGCCCUAUAGUGUUGUUUUCCUGAUUCACUAUUAAUCAAAUCUUUCCAAACAAAUAUUAAUGGGUAUAGAGGCAAGGGAUCAGAAAUAGUUGGCACAGGUAAAAUCAUAGUAUGUCUUUUUGUGGUUAUAACUAUCUGGACUGCCCUUUAAGCUUUUCCUUGAUACAUUUGCUGAUGCAACUCCUGAAAACCAGGAUCCAGGUCAUCGAAUUCUGAAAAAGUUGAUUGGUGAGAGCCUCUCUAAGGUAUCAUUUCUGAACUAGUGAGCUUUCUGAUAUUCUGCCAAUUAUUGCACGUUUCUCAUAUUUUAUUAUGUAGGACCUGGUGAGGAGCUUCCUUUUUAAUGGAGUUGAUGAACUAGGAACCAAAACAUUUCUUGAUUACUUUCCUGAGUACUGCUGUGAGAAUGGAACUAUAAAUGACAAACGCAGUAUCAUUGGAAAGUCUUUUGAAAGUCGGCCCUGGGAUACAUCAGGAGAAUUCAUUGGUAACCAUCUCAAAAACUAUAAUUUAGCACUGGCUUUUAACCUGUUGCCUUUGUAUUACUGCUUUCUUCAUCUUCCCUUGUUAUUUCCCGUCCUAAGUGUGCACUGCAACUACUGUCAAACAUUUCUCAGUUCUUCUAGUGUACUGAUGUGAUUUUUAACCUUUGUUUCUCUCCAUUUUUUAAAUGUCUGAUCAAUGUGCAAUAUGACACAUGCCAGGGUCUCUCCCUAGCUUGAAUGAAGAAAGAGGUUUGUCAUAGGUAGCUGAGGGGCAACCUAUGAACAUGAAUCUUAGAUGUAGCAGCUGCAGCUGUAAGGAGAAUACCCAGAAGAGCAUGGGAUUAAUGGUAGUAAUAGAAGAAGAGAUGUUGGUUAUGGCCCUAGAUGGAGUGCAAUGGUGAAACGGGAUGUCUGCUACCAACCGCAUAUCGUUUGGCCUAGGUGGUCGUAUCAUUAAGCUGAGUUAUGUAAUUUUCUGAAUCCUUUUUUCUGAAGGGCACUCUGUUGUGUUGGUGAUACUGCAGUUUUUUCAAUUUCAAAAUAAAGAACUGUAUCAAUGAUUCAUGGGUAACACCUUUUUGUUUUGAAAACUCAAGAAAGAAAUUUUGCGAAGGGUUUCAAUUUCAGGGGCUAAUUAAGAAGGGAUAGAAUCAAAACCACACUAUACAAAAGUUUUCAAAGCAUAUAUUUUAGUGUUCUUUUUUUUCUUUCUUUCAAAAUGAAGUAUCUUAAUCCAAACAUUGGAUCACUCUUUCUAAUAAUCAUGAACUUCUUUAGCUCUAAAGCUAUGUUUGGUUUCAAAAAAUUUUGGGAGAAAUAAAAUAACAUGCAUAUAUAAAAAGAAAGAAUAAGAUAAGGAAAAUGAAAAGCUUUGUCUGAUCAAAAAAAAAUAAAAAAUGAAAAGCUUUAGGGAAAAAAGAUUAAAUUAUUGUAACAUGUACUUGAACACUUUUCACGUUUAUCCAAAGAAAAAAGGGAAACAAAGCCAAAAACUUUAUACAAAUCACUUGAAGGAAGAUUAAGUACAAGAGUUAACUGGGAAAGAAUGGAGAAUGUAACGACGCAUAUUACAACUAUAUACAAUUCAUGGUGAUGAGUGACAAUUGACCUCUUUCAACUCAGAACAUCUUGUACGGUACAAAUGAAAGAAGCUGGUGAGCUUGGGGUUUCAAUUAUUUGGCUUCAGCAGUUUUGAAUAGCUCCUGCCACUUCUGCGGAUCACUUCCUGGACCAUCUCCCUGUAAGGUACGAAAUCAGCCAAGGGAGAUGGUGAUGUUUCAAGCAGAACAGAAUAUGCUAAAAAUCAAGGUGGGGGGUGGGGGUGUGGGAAUUAUUCCAAAUGGUAUCCAAAUCAUUACAUGAAUCAUCAAAUUCAAAACAUACAUGGAAGAGAUGGGAUAAACUCCACUGAAAAAUUUCUCCAUUCCAAUGCUCUUUUAAAUGAAUUCAUUUUGUUCACCAUAGCAAUGGAUGCAUCUAUCCGUUGCCAGCUUUUCAGGGAAUUGGAAUCAUCAUUCCAGUUACUUGAAAAUCCAAUUUCAAAUGACUCCAUUUUUGUUUCAGGGAAUUGGAAUCAUCAUUCCAGUUACUUGAAAAUCCAAUUUCAAAUGACUCCAUUUUUGUUUUGCAAUGAACCUAAGAGGAUAGCUUUUCACAUUCAACCGGUAUAGAAUAUAAAAUAUAAUUACCUUAUUUACAUGGCAUAUCCAAGCAACCCCUAAAUAUUAUUUCAAAUAUUAUAAUAUAAUUACCUCAACUGAAUUGAUUUCAUAAAUUUUGCCUUCAGUAAAUUCUAUGUCCAAUGCCUGUAUGCAAGCUUCAGCAACUACAAUUCUGCUAACCUCUCCAACAAGUUUAUCUCCUGAGACCAAUAACAAAAGCAUUAAAUCAAAAGAGAUAUGGAUAAGAUAAAAGAGGAAAAUGUCCUAAAAGCUGAGGAAGCAAACUAUAAUUUAAAGGCAAUAUAAAACCAAUUGUCCCUUUCCAUGCUUCUAUGCUAAUACUGUUAUAUUGGCGUCCAUCAGAAUGGUGGCCAUGGAUUAAUUGGAAACUAUUCUUGUUUUAUAGUAGAUUGAAAUAUAUCAAUUCACUAAUUUGUUACCGAGUACCAAACGAGAUGGUGUCAAGUCCUAAGAAAUGUUUUAAAACUCAGACAGGAGGUUGAUCUGGUGACAGGACUGUUUAGUUCAGCCAACUCUGAUCAUGGGCCAGCCAAAGUCAGCCCAUUGGCAUGAUCAUUGAAAUUGUUGGAUUUACUGUAUUUAUUUACAUGCACAUACUGUAUUACACCAAAGUAACUCCAUUCUCAAAGUUCCUUCUGGUUGGAAAAUAAGCUUUACUGAAGAAACUCUACUGUUACAUCCCUAAUUAGAAAUUAAAUAUUUUGAAAUAUUUCUGUUAGUGUGAUACUAUAGCUAGAUUAAGUUGACAAUUGUAGUCCAAAAGCACUAGUCCAAUGCUAUUUAAUUUCAAAGGCACUUGUCACCUUCAGAGCAAAGAUACAAGGUGGUCAAGCAAAGUAAGGUAGGAAUGUAGUAUGAGCAUUGGUUAAGUAAUGGUAGGUGAAAAAUGGGAUUAUGAUUUAUGAACAAGUCGAAAGGUUUCAAGGAUGCUUGAAUGCUCAAAGGAGGGCUUGAGCAAACUCAAAGCAUGAGAAAAUAGCAAAAU
rnacentral:lncRNA from 1 species